UUUCAAAAAAGUCUUCACUGACAUAUAUUUAUUUUAAGUGUGCUUAGGAGCCCAUUAUAGACAUUUCGCGACCUCUAUUUUAAUUGAAAAAAGAGAACUCAAAAUUAUUAUAAUUCAACUACCCACGCGAUAUCUAAAAUUUUGCGGUUCUUCCAAUUACUUGACUGCUGCCAACUCAUGAAGUCCUACUAUCACCUCCUCCACCCAACAAUUGUUUCUUGCAACAUUAAUGACCUUAAGCUUUUUUAUGAAGAUACUGAUGUAUGUACUUUUUUUACAAAAAUACGAAAUUGCUGAGGGUACUGAACAGUGCUUAUGUUUGAAACUCCAGACAAGAACCACUCAUCAUAUACAGGAAUUUAUAGUGUUGAAGGCAUUAAAGUAGCCAUUCAACUAAAACUAGGUCCUAAUCAACUUAGAAUUAGCACCAAUUUGUGCUCGACUGUAUGCAUACAAAGCUAAGCUUGAUGGCAAAUUUACUCUAGAGAUUAACAUUAAGUCGAGAUUAGAUAGAAGCGGCUUCAGAUCAAGUUCAAAUUUUUCGUUAAUCACCACUAGCAUCAUGUCCCGAAGUGAUCUAAUCAGGCAAAACAAUCAUAAUCAUAAUAAUAAGUCCUAAGGAAAAACACAAAAGAACACGAAAUACGUAUGCAAUGAUAAAUAUACAACAAUUCAAGCAACCAUAACACAAGUAUAAAGAGAGUACCCGGCGUCUGAAGCGCUGCGGAGGCUCGCGAAUCCUCCUCGCCUCCCGGGACCGGACUCUCACAACGUGAGAGUGGAUAGCGCAAGAUACACAAUACUGCAUCUUAGCAUACAGCUUCGGAAGAGUGUAACCUGCAAAAUAAAAAACCGAUUUUUCCCUCAAAAAAUCAGAAAAACAUACUCCAAAAUACAUUUUUUUUAAAAAAAAAAAACACAAAUAUAGAAAAAGAUCAUACCAUCAUAGACGCACGCCUCCUGCACAUCUCUUACUGCGGCUUGCUCAACGAUGUUCCUCACGAGAAACCUCUUGAUGGCCUUAUCCUUUUUUUUUAACCACCAAAUAAGGUCGAAUUCGAUCAAAUAUUCAUAGAUCCAUUAGGGAUUGUUUACUUAGUGUUGGAAAAUUUAGGGUUUUCGGAGAAUCGCUUACCUUAGGGCAGCACUUGCCGCAGUUGGAGCAGCGGAUGAACCUGACGUGGCCGCGGCCGUGCUUGUUACGGCCGCCAUUCCUGCGCUUGAAGGUCUGCGGAGAGAAGGAGAAGAAGAAGCGUUAGAGCCAUGGAAAACUGGAAGAGGAAGGGGGAGAGGAGGAGAUGGAAGAGAUCUAGGGUUAGGGUUAGGGUUAGGGUUUUCCGUACCAUGGCGGCGAGUGGAUAGCGGUAGCGCUAAAGGUCGCUGCUUUGAUUCUAGGGUUUUAGUAUUAGAAAGAGACGCGAAGCGAGGAGUAUAUAUCGUCCGAGAUUAGAUUGGGUCCCUAGAGUGGACGGUGUAAACUUAUUGCAUGAACCCGGUGCAUAAUGAUCCGUGCACCUGGUCGACGCCGGGUCCAGGUGAAGUGAAUUCUAAAAAAAAAGAAGGUUAGAUUACUUAUUUCCAUUUUAAAAAAAACCCAAAAAAGCCAUGUUCCCUUUAGAUUUAAAUUUUAGACAUUUAGCUUAGUUUCUUGAAAUUUCAGUUUGUAUAUCACGGUAUAUACAUAAUUUUUUUUAUACAGUAUAACAAAUUUAUAAUCAUUAAAUUAGAAAAUGAUAAAACUUUUCAACACAAUAGAAUGACCGAUGGUACAAUAUAAUUAUUUUAUUAUUUUAUUUAAUAUUGCAGAUAAAAUAUAUUAUUUAUGGCCAAAAACGUUAUGAGUAAAAAAAAUUAUUUGAUUUGAGAGAUUAAUUUUAUUUGUUGUAAAAAAAUUGGAAAAACUUUUUUUUUAAAGAAAGGAAAUUGGAAAAACUUUAAAUAUUAUUUAUGUGGUUUUGCACUUUAUUACUUUAGUGUUCUAUUGUUUAAAAUGUAUCACUUUCAUACUCUGUGGUUUUUUUUUUUUUCGUUAUCCCCUCCAUCAAUUUUUUUGUUAAAUUAGUCGUAAAGUUAAAACCAUAUGAUACUAAAUAAAAAUUUGGUAAACCGCAAGGUACAAAAAUAAAUAUUUGGUGAACCAUAGGUAAAAUAUCUGAAGUUUUUUGUAUAUGAUUUAACAAAGAGUUAAUAAAAGCGUUGACAAAAAAAAAAAACCAAAGUGUAUUAAAGUGAUACACUUUUAACUCAUAGAGUACUAAAAAACCACAUAUAUGACAUUUGAAGUUGACCCAAAAAAUUUAUAUAUCUUUCCUAAAAGUCCCUGAUCUACUUUGUUGGAAGAAGACAUGGGAAGGUCUGUGAACCGCGCUUUGAAUUUUCAUAGACCAGGUAUAUGCUCCUGGUCCAUACGACAGUUCCUCCAUGUUUAAGUUGGCUCCUUUUCCCCUCCUACUCAUGGACUCCUCAAACACGACGACGACCACCACCGCCACCUCUCCCUUCCCCUUCUCCUCCCUCAUCCCGACCAUGUACUCCACCUCAAACCCUAUCCCUAACCCUAACCCCUCACAUCCAUGGCGACUCCUACCCCCCACCUCCUCCUCCGCCGCUCCUCCGCCCCCUUCCACCUCGCCCAAGCCCACGCUGCGCUCCUCAAAGCCGGACUCGCCCACCGCCGACGCUUCCUCUCCAAGCUCGUCUCCCUCCUCGCGCUCUCCCCGCACGGGAGCCUCCCCCACGCGCGCGACCUCUUCGACUCCGCCCCGCCCCGGCUCCAGUCCCCGCCGCUCUUCGCCGCGCUCAUCCGCGCCUACGCCUGCGGCCGCGCCUUCGCCGAGUCCCCGCUCCCCGAUUUCCCCCGUAAGGGCGCCGAGCUCCAUUGCCGCGUCGUCCAUCUAGGGUUUGCGUAUGACCCAUUUGUUCAGAACUCCUUAAUCUUCAUGUACUCGAAAUGCAGUAACCUCCACGACGCGCGGAAGGUGUUCGGCGAAAUGGCCGAGAAAACCCUGGUCUCGUGGAACGCCAUGAUCGCCGCGUACGACCGAAGCGGCGACCGGGCGGCAGCGGAGCGGCUCUUCCGGGAAAUGCCUGAGAGGAAUGUGACGUCGUGGAACAGCAUGAUAGCCCGGCAUGUGCGAGCAGGGGACACGCGUGCCGCGCAGAUGUUGUUCGACGAAAUGCCUGAAAGGGACGCAAUCUCGUGGAACUCCAUGAUCGCGGUGUAUAUUCGCGCUAAGAAUCACAAGCGAGCUCUAGAGCUUUUUCGCCAAAUGCAAGCUAAUAAUAUCAAGCCUACGGAGCUUACGCUUGUUUCAGUUCUUGGGGCUUGUGCCGAGACCGGUGGGUUAGAGAUAGGGAAGGAGAUUCAUAAUUAUUUAGAAAAUAACCACAUUACAAUUGAUGGGUAUGUGGGUAAUGCUUUGAUUGACAUGUACUCAAAGUGUGGUAGCUUGAAGCUCGCAAGAAAGGUGUUUGAUGAGAUGCCUAUGAAGCAUGUUACUUGCUGGAAUUCAAUGAUCACAGGUUUGGCGGUUCACGGCCAUUGCGAAGAGGCAUUUGACCUUUUCGCCUCCAUGGUGAGGGAGCUGAAUGGUGUCGCGGAACCAAACCGUGUCACAUUUCUUGCGGUUUUAAUUGCCUGUACCCACAAGGGUUUGGUGAAGGAGGGGCAAAUUUAUUUCGAUCGAAUGGUUAAUGAGUAUAAGAUAGAGCCUGAUAUAAAGCACUAUGGUUGCAUGGUUGAUUUGCUAAGCCGAUGUGGUAUGGUUGAAGAAGCUUAUCAGAUGAUUAAGGAGAUGCCCGUCAAGGCCAAUUCGGUGAUGUGGAAAACCGUGUUGGCAGCUUGUCGAGUACAUGGGAAUGUGGAGUUGGGAGAGAAAGCAUUUAAGGAGCUUCUUGAAAUGGAUUCCAUGGGAGAUGAUGUAGUUACGAUGUCGAACAUAUAUGCAGAAACUGGCAGAUGGGGUGAUGUCAAGCGUUUGAGAAGUAGGGUGACAGGUUGUAACAUUUGGAAGCAAGCGGCUUGUAGUCAGAUCGAGCUGUUGCAUUGAAGUGGGCCACUCUUAAGGUUGUUUUUCUCUGCUGGAGCUUCUGUAAAAGUGUCGUUUGAGUAGAAUUGCACGAAGAAGUCAUUAUAAUUUCAUUAAUCUCUUUUAAUUGCUUCUUGCUGCAGCUAGAAGCAAAAUCUUCAAAUAUAAGCUUAUGUGUUCUGAGACUAGAAGCUUGUUUCUGCUUCUUACCACGGCUAGGAGCUCUGGGUCAUUAGUUUGGUCAACACCUAGCUUCUGCUUCAUGAAUGAAGCUGUAUAGUUGCACGAGUCAACCACUCCAUGGUACAGAAGACAGUUAUGUAGUUCAUUGGUUCAAGAAACGACUAUACAGAAGACUUUUUAUAAGCAUUUACGAGCAUAUCCUCCCUUGGUGAAUCUAACUCAGGAACCAAUGUUGAGUACUUACGCUUCACGAUACAGGUUGAUGCAGAUCUCUGCUUUUGCGGAAUGGUUUUUUCAGCUUUUGCUAUUUUCUCCAGCUUAACGGCUCUUAAGUGCUGAAGAUGAUUUUGUGGACUAGAGCUGCGAAAGGCGCUUUUCAUUGGAGCUUGUUAAAUCAAUGUAUAUAACUGAUCUGUUUUUGCCAAAUAGUUGGCUUCUUCAAUUGUAUGGAGAAAGAUAGAUCUAUAGACGCAAUAUUUGGCUUAGUUCCUCUGAUAUGAAUCAGUAGAUACCAUCACUGCUUGCAUUGCUUGCUGUAAACUUCCAUUCCAGUGGGAACUAAAGGAUGUGAUGCUGCUGCUUCUGUAGAAUACUAUUGUUUGUGAUUCUAUUGUUUUAUUCGUAUCUUUUCUGCGCAAAUACUAAGAAGAUAUUAUAAUUGAAGAGCGUGAAAACAAAGUCAAGGAGCAUUUUGCCAUUUUCCUUGUGUAUGAACUUUUGACAUUUUCUCAGAAUGUACCCUAGAAUAUGUUCCCCCACUUGGUUAAGUCAUACACAAUGCGACUUUGACCUAGUUUACCCAUCCCAAGCCCUUUUCCUUUUGUUUAUUAAUUAUCAAAUUCAUGAUGUUAUAUUUAUAUUUAUGGGCAACUUAAAACAAAGAGGGAUGAGUUUUAUAUUUGUCCCUAAAUUUUUUUGGGUAAUUUCAGAAAAAAAAAUGUUUUCAACUUUUCUAUCUGUUCAUGUUAAGUCUCUGUGUUUUCACAUUUUUCUUUUGAAAAGUCCCCAGGGAAUAAUGGAAUAUCUUUCAUCAAAAAUCCAAACUGUAUUGUAUCGCAACUUGUACGGUUUUGACUUUUAAAUUUGAUAAAUAUGCAUAUAAAAAAGUUUUUAAAAAUAAAAUAUUGGUCGUAUGUGAUGCUCACAGUAAUAAUAAAUCUACAAAAUUAUGGACAAAAGUUAAGUUAAGAUUGCUAAUAAAUGAAGUCCCCACAUUAGAGGAUGAAGGUCAACGCCGUGAUUUGAGCAAUUAAAAGAAAGUUUCCAAUGCUUUACCGCCGAUUUAAAAUCAGAGGUUAUCUCUUAUGUUCCACCAAAAAUUAUAGGUGCAUUUAAAACAUUAUAAUUUUAUUUAUUUAAUAGUGGAGCUAGGCUGCUGCUGUACUAUCAGUAGUAUAGAAGCUUCUGUACUACCAAGUUGUUUUUAAUGAUGCGGCUUCCGAAUCAACGAUCGUUUUUUUAGAUAUGAUCUACGCUGUUGAAAAUAUUUAGAAAUCAAAUUUUAUUUUUUUUCGACAUUAUUUUACAAGUGAUCAAAAUAUUUCAAAAUUGAUAAUUUUAAUGACUGAUGUGUUGCGUUUAUAAAUUUAACGGUGUAAAACAAUUCAAAUAUGAUGAAAUUUUUAUAGAAAAUUUUCUUUACUAUUUAAAGUAAGAUCAGUACUUCUAAUCUUAAAUUCAAAUCUUUUAUCAUUAUUUUUUAUGAAAUUUUUAUUUUCAAUCGUUUAUUUUUAGACUACUCGUUUAAUAGGUAAAUGAUGUAAAAACUUAUAAAUUUUAGUUUUUUAAUACGUUCAAUAGCGUAGAUCAAGUACAACGUAACCGAUUGUCGAUUUGAAAUUCGCAUCAUCGAAAAUAAAUUGAUAGCAUGAUGGCCUCCGUACUACUGAUAGUAUACUGACUGAAUUCGAAAGUUUAAAGGGUCUCUUGGAAAUUUUCCCCAAAUUACGAGCUUAUCAAAAAAAAAAAAGUAAAAAUUAGUGGACCAAAGUGAAAUUGUAGUGAAAGUUCUAAGUGGUAAUGCAAUUUGACCGGUUAUAGGUCGGCGAGGAAAUUGGAAUGGAAUUUGUUUUCCCCAAAACUUGCGAUGGGGGGACUUAAUUCGGAUCGGGUGGAAUUAAUUCGACCCGGAGAAAGUUGGUGGACGUUCUCACACCCAACGUUGACCAAAGCCCCCGAAAGUUGACUUUUUUUGCCUAAUUAGACUUUAAAAAAAAAACGAAAAUCAUUUCCCUUAAUAUUAGGCUCGAGAUUUAUCGCGGGAUUCGUAGCAUCUCUAUUCCCAAAAAACAAAAAAGAAAUAAAAAAUCAAAUCAAAUCAAAUCAAAUCACACUCCCAUCUCUCUUCUUCUUCUUCUUCUUCUUCUUCUUCUCCAUCUACCCCAACACACACGCCUCGGGUCAAUGCGGUGCGAGGAGCGGUAGAGGAAUCGAGGGCUCUUCGGCCACCGAAUCCACGUUGGGGAAGCGAUUCCCCCGAUCGCGGGGCGGAAAAGCUCGGUUUUGGUGGGAAAAAGGGGGAGGAAAAGCUCGUCUUUUUGAGCUGUCGAUAGCUUCGGAUCCGAGAGCGCGAAGGAGCUUUUUUGGAUGAGGGAUCUCCGACCCCCCGGAUCUACGUACGAGAAGCGCUUCUUUCGGUUGCGGUGUGGAAAGCUCGAUUGAGGUGGGGAAAAGGGGCGAAAAAGCUCGCCUUUUGAGCCUUCCCUUUGCUGGAUCCGAGAAAUUUGAGGUAAAAGAGCUUUUUCAUGGGGUUUUAGGGUUUCUCGGGGGUUUCUGAGAAAACCCAGAUGGGGGCGUGCCCUGAUUGGCGCCUGAUUCGUACUGUUUAGGGUUUCCGAACCCCUCGAUUUAGGGUUUUUGUGGCGUUCAUCUGAUGAGGAUGGAGGAGAAUGCGGCGCUCCACACUAUACAGAGCUCGAUCCAAGCGUUGGGGAGGGGAUUCGACGUCAACCACGACACGAGGCUUCUAUAUUGCAAAGGGAUCGCGGGGUCUCGGCUAAUUGAGGUGGAUGCGCACGCUAGGGAUUUGGCGGUGUUCGAUGGCGUGGUUGUGCCCAAUGUGUCGAGGGAUGUGAAGUGUUCUUAUGAUAGUGGUGGAAGAGAGGGAACUGGUGCUUGUAGUUUCUAUGAGGUGUGGUAUAACUGUUACUAACUAAUUUCCCUUUGCUUUCUCACGUUAAAUUUGGUAUUUAAUUUGCAUUGGAGAUAGUUGUGCUUUCCCUUCGAAUCAGACAUUUGUAGUUUAUUGUGUAGUUGGUGAAAACAAAUUUAUAUUGUUUAAUAUGUGUUGUAGGAGGUUUUAAUUGGUUAUGGUAUCUAGUGAAGGGUGUGAUUGUUAGGGUGAUUAGGGAUUUUAGGUUCUUGAAGAUCGAGAACUGCUUCUCUUGUCCUGGUUGUUGGUUCUCUCAGAUUAAGCUUUUGUAGUGCUUUACAUGGUUAGGUCAGAAUUAACUAUGGAGGUACUUGUGUAUUUUGACCUCUAAACUAUGAGAUCUGAUCGCCCAAACUAGAGUGGAAGUCAUGCACUUAGUGUAUUGAGCGUUUUGCAUGUAUUACAUAUUGUUCUAGUUUGAUUAGAUAUUAUGUAUUUUAGAUUCAUAGAGAGCUAAUUAAACCUCAUUUUAAGUUAUAAGUAUGUGUUAGAUUAUCUAUAAUCCUUGUACUCAUAUUAAAUUGGCUAUUCUACUGGAGUUUUUCUAUUGAAAAAUUAGUCAUCAAUAUGUAGAAAUUUCUACAAACCAUGGAAAUAAUGCUAAAACAUAAUGGUUUUAAGUGUUUACCAUCUCCAUUGUGUGCAAUAUAUCAAUGCAAACUCAUUAUUUUGCUGAGUUUAUGUGACGAUUCGGCUUCUGUGUAUCAAAUCUUAGAGCUCAAAUUGAAGUAGUAAAUUGGAGCAAAUCAAGUUUACUUACAAUACAAGUGCCUGCAGAAAGGAUGUAAUGAAAUAAAUGGAUUUUCAGUGGUUGAUAUUUUAAAGUUGCAGAUUGCUAGUAAGUAGUAAGUAAAACCUAAUCAUAGGAAGCUAUGCUAUUUGUUGCCAUUGAGAUGUAUCGUAUACAAUAUUGAAGUGCAAACAAACUGUAGUUAGGGCAUUUGGGUGCCUCGUAUGAUUUAUUUGACAUAUGGGAUAUUGUUUACUGGUGCUUUUAUGGCAGUAAUAACUUCCUUGCAUUGUCAUAUUACGGGGACCUGUUUGGAUGUCGGAACAAAUUUUAUAGUGCCAAAUUUUCACAAUUAUGGAGAUUUCUUUUGUGACUGCAACCCAAUAGCUUGAUUUUCAAUCCAUUGUGAGCUUCCUUUAAAAUUAUAUCCCUAUGUGCAUUCUAUCAUGAUUCAUAACAAGCUUUAAUUAACAAACCUUGAGAUUGAUUUUAGUUUUUCAGCUGUUAAUUUACUUCUAUCAUUCCAAAAAGAAUCCGGUUUAAUGAUUAUGUUAUUUACUGUUAUAGUAACGCAGGUUUGAUUAUAUAGGUCACCAAUUCUCAUUAUUUUCUCAUUUUUCCCUUGGUAAGCGACCGCAGAUGGCAGAAUAUUUCAAUAGAAAGGCUAAUCUAUCAGGGAACAUCCCCCUUGGAUGCUUCAAUUCUGCAUUUAGCUUCACAGGAUUGAAGAAAACUGAUGCUGCAUCUACGAAGAGCCUCGCCAUGGAUGGGAAGUUCAUCCCUUUAUGUAAAGUUCAGAUUAUAAAGCAAUCCCUAACAUUGAAAGAAGAGGUGAGGCGUGCUGUGCCACUUUCAUGGGACCCAUCAUCUUUAUCAAGGUAAAGAUGCAGAUUUUUCUGCAAAAGUAAGCAAGUUAUGUAAUGGAGCACCUUGAUAAUUUCAACUUGUAUACAGGUUUAUUGAGAAUUAUGGCACUCAUAUUAUUACAUCCAUUACUAUCGGUGGUAAGGAUGUAAUCUAUGUCAAGCAGCACAGUUCGUCGCCUUUGUCAGCCAUGGAAAUUAAAAAUUACGUACAAGACCUCGGAGAGCAGAGGUUCUCUGAAAGCGAGAGCCACACGAGCUCAGGUCCAAUGAAAGUGAAGGAUAAGGCUAGUGCUUUUGUGCUAUUCUCUUGGAAGUUGCUCACGAGCAGUAUAAUUAGCAUAUGUUGCUGUUAUGUCCCUCUGACUAUUUGCUGCUCAUGGUUUGCCAGGCUGUGGAUCCUUUCGUAUUCAACAGCCAGGGAGUAUAUCCGCAACCUCCUAACACGCCGUAUCUUACCGCAAAAGAGGCAAGUGAAACAUCUUCUCUUUUAUUAUCUACUUUUGUGUCUUAAUACUCCAAUGAUUAAAGAAGUGCAAACAAGUCCUACAUGCUGGUUGACAUAUGAGUCUAGAAAUAAGGAAUAUAGGUUGGAGGAGGAGAAUUACUUUUGUUUCUUCAUUUUACCCUCUAUAUUUGAAACCUUACACACAGUUUGGACUAUGAAAUUUCUCUUGGGGGACAUUGGCAAUUUGGUGAUGCUUCCAUUAUUUAACAAUGUUUAUGACUUCUUUCUUAGCUUUGGUCCCUUUUGGAUACAACGCUAAUGAUCAGACAAGAUUACUACAGAUUUGUUUGUAGGCCUAGCUAGAGCAGCUGUAGAAGUGCUGUUUAUGAAGAGUAGCUGCUCGAAAUAGCACUAGCAUCCUUUUCAUUUAAAUAAUAAAAUCUCCGCAACAGCUUAUUGCUGUAGCAGAAGUGAAAACUUCAAAUUGCUGUUUCUGUAUCGCUUCAGCAAAAGCACCAAUUCUUUGGUUUGCCAAAUACCUGGUAGCAGCUAGCUUAUCUGUAUCAGAAGCUAGGUGCGAUGGGCAUUAAGACUGAUAUUCAGCACGGACACUUCUAUAAGCCUCACGUGUCCGUGUCGGACACGUGUCCUAUGUGGACACUUUUCGAACGCCCGUUUAAUAUUUAUUCAUAGUGCAUACAACUAAAAAAAUAUAUACCUAUUUUUAUUUUACUUUUUUUUAUACAUAUGUAAUGUAUGAUAAUAAAUAUUUUAGCUUUUUGAUGAAUACAUAUAUAUAUUUUUUUUGACAAUAUAAAUAAAUUAUCUAUGGUGGAGAAUUUUUUUCCUUAAAAUAUAUGAACUAUCAAUAAAAAUUUUACUAAUUUUCAUUCGUAUGAGAAAUAUAACAAUAUUUUAUCCAAAUUAAUAUUUUAUAUAUAAUAAAAUAUAUUAUUAUAUUAAUAAUAUUAUAUUUUAUUAGCGAUGUUUAUGUCGUGUCCGUGUCCUAAUUGUUUGAAAGUUGCCGAGUCGCGGUGUCUAAGUCAUGUCGUGCCCCGUGUCCCGUGUCAGUGUCCGUGACGCCUAGAUAUUCAGCCAUGAGGCCAGAUGAUAAGAUGCACUACUAAGCAUGGCAGGAAGUAUUUUGCAGUUAAACUAUCCAUUGUAAAGCCCUUCAUAUCAAGUGAUUAAUACAUUAGGACUCUGAGAAUCCUAAUUUACUGAAUUACAUGCUAGGUUUUAUUCAAGUAUUCUAUUUCAAGGAGGAGAUUUUUUUUUUAAUAUAUUUCCUGUUUUCAUGUCAUUGCAAAUUAUGGUCUUGACGAGCAGACAGAAGCAUGUGCAUUGUUUUUGCCCUCCAUCAUUGAAACUCUGCUCGAUACCUCCUGUAAACAGAAGAUACCAUAUCCGAUGAUAGAUUUUAUGGCUUAUAUUAUACUAUCUGCUACUCGCCAUUUGUAUUGGUUUGAUUAUCAAACAAAGUUAUGGUAGGCUGAAUGAGAGACUCCUGUAAAGUUUGCUGUUUUCAUGUUUAGUUUGUUACGAUAUCUAUAUGAAAACAGUUGCUUAAGACGAUAUCUAUAUGAAAACACUUGCUUAAGCCUCUCAACUAAUGAUGCGAUUUUGAAAUGUCCCUAUAUUCUGAUGAAUUUACUUAUGCAGGAUGUAACAGUAAUUUUCAGAAGAAGGGGAGGUGACGAUCUAAUUCAAAGCCACACUCAUUGGGCAAGAACCAUCCGUUCAGCACCCGAUGUUAUUGAUAUGACCUUCUUUCCAAUCACUUCUCUACUUGAAAGGGUGCCUGGAAAGGACCAUCUUAUCCGUGCUAUCAACCUUUACCUCGAAUGUAAUGUACCGCCAUAGUUGAUAUACGCUCUAGAUCAAAAUCUAUAACUAGACUCUGAAUUGUUCUAUUGGAUUCUGCAGAUAAGCCCCCAGUUGAGGAGCUAAGAUACUUCUUAGAGUUUCAGGUUCCUAGAAUAUGGGCCCCAGUUCAAGAUGGGCUUCGAGGACAGCGAAGAAAAGAGCCAGUGUGCCCAUCUUUGCAGUUCAGCAUAAUGGGAAAGAAGCUAUAUAUCAGCCAAGAACAGGUACGCAGCAUCGAGAAUGGAAUGUCGGCCUUGAAAACUGGCUAAUACCUUUUUCUCGAAAUAUAUUUGAGCCAGAGGUGUUUUAUAAGAGACGGCUAUAAAAUCUCAUUAUGAAGAUGAAAUGGCGUAGACAAAGCACAAGUAUCACUUCUUUUAUUGUUUGUCAAUCAUCCGGAGGGCUGAAACGAAAGCACAUGUGAAUGAUAAUGUUGGACUAUUUAUUUGAAAAUUUUGCGCUGUUAGUGACAGAUGUCCUGUAGUAUCAUAAUUUUCGUGUUAGAAAAAAAAUAGCAAAAUUGACCUUCCUUUUCUGGACGUUUCCUAUUGCACUAAAACCUUCAAUAUGUGCAGAAUAUAUAAUGCCGCCACUGUAUUUUGCGGAUUAUUAAUUCUGUACCACAGAAUCAUUAUUAUCUAUUUUUUUUCCUUAGUAAAUCUUCAUUUUGCAUAAUUUACAUGGACUCUGCGGAUUCUUAUUUCCACAUCUAGUCUUAUGCUUCUUUUAUAACUAAAAAAAGUAACUUCUUCAGGUAACAGUUGGGCGAAAACCAGUCACUGGACUAAGACUCUGCUUGGAAGGCCCAAAACAGAACCGACUAUGCAUACAAGUGCAGCACUUAUCGACCCUACCCAAGAUCUUCCAACCCUACUGGGAUGCCCAUGUGGCGAUUGGCGCACCAAAAUGGCAAGGACCCGAGGAACAAGACAGCCGAUGGUUCGAGCCUGUUAAGUGGAAGAACUUCUCCCAUGUCAGCACGGCUCCGGUUGAAUACCACGAGUCCUUCAUCGGCAACACCUCCGGCGUAUACGUAGUCACCGGGGCUCAGCUUGGAGUGUGGGAUUUCGGUGCAAAGAAUGUCCUUUACAUGAAAUUGUUAUAUUCUAAAGUACCUGGAUGCACUAUUAGGAGAUCAUUAUGGGACCAUAGCCCUACUGCUGCUGCUGCUACACCUACAAUUACCUUGGACGACAAACCUGAAUCUGGCGACUCGAGCUCGAGCUCGAGUUCAGCGGAUGCGGGCAGGUUGCUGAAGUUUGUGGACAUGUCGGAGAUGUAUAAAGGGCCGGACGAUAUACCCGGGCACUGGUUGGUGACGGGCGGGAAGCUCGGUGUUGAGAAAGGGAAGGUUGUUUUGAGAGUUAAGUAUUCUUUGUUGAACUACUGAAACCAGUUUGUUUUACGGGUGUUGACGGUUGUUGUGCAUUUUGCAUGUAUAUUAUGGAAAAAUUUGCUUCGAUUAAAUUUAGUGAGUCGAAGAUUUGAUUUUCCCCACAAGCAUUUCUCAUAGUUAGUUGAUCAAGCUUCCUUUUCUGGAGUGCUCAGCAAGGCCUAGGGAAGUUGAGGUUCCUGAAUAAUUUAUUUCCUGUAGGAGUUAUGGUACAAGUACCUCACAAGGGACAUCAAAAUUCAGUUCCUGACAAGUAGUUGGUUCAGCUUUUAAGUUUCCCACAUGGCGCAUAACAAGGACAUCGAUUUGGAAAAAGCUAAACCUGUCACUUUUGCUACGUGCGCAAUAUUGAUUCAUCAAUUAUAUUUUGAAGUGCUUUUCGACUGUACUGGUGCCAUUACUCUUCUGGUGAAGUAUGUUGAUUCAGAUUCAGCGAGAGGCUACCGACACUUUAGCAGUAAUCCAUGGUCCUCAAAGUCCUUGCCUUAAACUGUAUAAUAUCUCUGUGCCAUAGUUUCAAACUAGGUUAAUUGUUGUUCCUGUAGGUUUCACAUCUUAUCUUUUUAGUUUGCAGUAUUUUGUUAGUGUUCUAAACCAGCUGAGAAUAAGUUCUGUUAUAGUAAAUUAUACAGUUAGUCUCUGACCUUUUGGACGAAUUAAAAUUUGAUUUCUGAUCUCUAAGUUGAACCGAUUAAUUCGUGAUCCUAGUCUUUCUCCAUGAUUAGAGAUGAACUGUAAGCUCUAAUUUGUCCUGUUAGGGACCAAAUUAAAGCAAUUAGGCCUGAUAUCUAGUUAUCUAUGGAGGGCCCUGUUAUUUUCAUUCUGAUGUUUUAGGUCUAUAUUUGACCCAGCAACUGCUUCCAUAGAAAGUGAUGCUUGGAUAGAGUUUCUCAAAAAGUCCAAUGUUACAGUUGGAUCUACCAAACUGCUUGCUGUUAAGCUGGAAGAGCAACAGCUUAGGCAUUCAAAGUUAGAGAUUUUGUUUUCAAGACUCCAUUUCGCCCGACAACUCGAAUCUUUGUUUGCAGAACGCAUUAUUUUUACUUCUUAUAUACAAAACACAUUUUACAAAAUGUAACAUACACCGAUAUGAAGUGAGGAAAAAGUUUUUAUCAGGCACAUUUUUUUCACUAGCACUCAUCCCUACUGUAAGAUAUUAAUCUGGCAGCGGAAAGGAAUGCGUCUAAUAAAGAUGCAUCUGGAGAUUUUGCUUUGCAAACUCAAUUCAUCCGACCAUUCAGAACAUUAUCUCUCAAAUAUUUUGCUUUUUGCUUCUUAUAUACGAAAGACAUUUUGCAUAUCGAACAACUAAACAAAUACCUAAGUUUUUAAUCAGAAUCAUUGUUUUUCACAAGCAUCCCGUCCUACUGCAAGAUAUUAAUCUGGCAAUAGAAAGGAAUGCACUUAUUAGAGAGACAAGUGCUUUUCACCAUGUAUUUUACCACUGUGGGAGACAAAGCAAACCAAAAUGGCAUCUCACACCCAUAUUUACAUCAACACCUUUUAAUAGAAGAAUCAUAUACAUAUAACAUAUUCAAAUAUUCCAAUUAAAAUAGAACUCUCACACCCCACAAAAGUACUACAACACCAUCAUAUCCCCACAAGCAUCUCUCACCCAUGUGAUGAGAAGUGGGGGAGCUACAAACAAUGACUAAAAUAAAAUCUAAUAAUAAGAUGUCCUUGGCACCUUCACCAAAAACCAAAUAUAUAUAAUACACCCGUCUAAUUAUAUUAAUACAUCCAUAUAAUUUUAUGUUUGUAUUAAUAUAAUCUCCCUACUAAUUAAUUAUGGUUUGUAGAGAGGGACUUAGCGGGUGCUAAAAGUGGAGCAACCUCUGCAUAGCCAAAUUCCUCUCUCUCCCUCUCUCUCUAAAAUGAGGAAAAAGAAAAUGUACACAUAUAUAUAUGUAUAUUGCAAACUAGCUAGCCAGUAGUAAAUAAAUAUAAUUAAUUUUUUAUUUAAAAUUGGCCGCCCUCGAAGGUCUGGCCGAAUUGCCAGUUGGCCGGGGCGACGUUGUAGCUGGUGAUGGUGCGGCCGUCGCUGGCGGUGACCUGGAAGGAGAGGGACUGGCCGUCGAGGUACGAGUUGCUCUGCCAGUUCUGGCCCCAGUUGCGGGACAUCGGCUGCCACCCCGUGUUCGACCCCUUGAUCGACACAGCGUGCACGUCGCCCGCGCCCGCCACGUUCGUGAUCAGCACCAGGUUGAAGUACGAGUGACCGUUGACGGUGAAUCGGACACCGCCUUUCUUUACGCAGGGCACCCUGCAGUCCCAGAAUUACAAAAGUUAUAAAAAGAGUGGAUUUUGUGACAGAUAUCUGGGCCCAAGAAGAUCACCACAUCCCCAUGUUGAGUCCGGGCCAGAAGUGGACCCAAACCUAGACUAGGACUUGGUCCCACUUAACUACAAAUUUAUGGUACAAAAGAUGUAGUUUAAUAUUUGACAUGAAGCUAGUUUAAUCCAAACCGAGCUAAUUUAGAUUGGGUUCGAGCCAUGGGCUAGCUAAAUAAGUCAACGUAUAUGAUAGUAAAUCUCACCUUCUGUAGGCCACGGGUACGAUUCCCGCACGGUACUGAGCAAUUUGGAGGAAUGCCGGCUCGGCCAUGUCGAAGUGCGGGCGGGGAGGGUUGCACCACCCGCCGUCGUCACUCGGGAGGCCGUAAUUCGGGGGGCAGAAGUUCGUAGCGGUCACUAUGAUCGAGCCAGGCAGGCACCACUGCGGGUCAUCGUCGCACCGCAUCUCGUAGCACGACCCGCAGCUAAGGCCGUCAUUGAACAGCGCGGUGCUCAGGGCUGCGGUGUUCGUCCCGUACCCCUGGCUGUACAAGUUUCCGUACCCGCAAGCCCCUCCUGCAUGAUGCGACAAAUAAAAUCAACACACUUUUCAAAAAAAAAAAAAAAGAAAAAAUAAAGUUACAAGUGUAUUCGUCUUCAGAUGCACGGGGAAUUCUGUCACUGAGGAAUGUCAGAACUAAGAUGUGCAAUUAUAUUUCUGGUCGAAAAUGUUUAAAGAAAUUACCCAUCGUGGCCGGACUCACACCUGGCGCCAGUAAAAUGUCGCGGUGCGCGCCCUGCCUAAAUCGCAAAGAUCCCAAAGCUACCUCAAGAGGAAGAGAAAUGAAGGGAAGAAGAAACAAGAAAAGCCAUAGAAGGAACCAUGACUGUCCAGUUGAGGAUAACUAACAGAGAGAAAGAGCGUUAUAAAGAGGGGGGGCGGGGGGGGGGGGGGGGGGAGGAUUGAAAUUGUGUGGUGUGGGGUUUAGGGCUACUUGGUAGAGGAGAAAAAGAUGAAGGAGAGGGUGCUAGUAAUUGAUAGAAAAGAGAGUGUGGCGGUAGCAGUAUACAUCAGUUUCUAAAAAUAAAAAAAAUUUCCUCUUUUUUUUUCUUUGCUUUUUAAAUAAUUUGUUAUUUUAUUUUUAUUUGUUAUUUUUCAUUUUUAUUUUGUAGAAAAUAGAAGAGACAACUUGGGUGUUCCACAUUGUUGAAAGGGAUUGGAGUAAAUGGGGACAAAAGGGGGAGCACAUGCAAAUGUUUUGGGGGGGUUGGGAGUACCAACCACUAAGGACCCUCAUGUGGGGCCCACUACCUCCCCUCACCCACAUGCACUCUUUCAACAUUUUCCUUUUUUAUUUUAUUUUGUUAUUUUAUUUUAUUUUUUGAAAAAGAAUUAUAGUUUUCUUUUUCUUUUUAAGAUUGAAUAAAAGUUCUCCUCUUGUGUUAUUCACCCAAAUGUGUGAGGGGUUAAGAGUAACUCACAAUGAAGGAGAACUUUUUCCAUUAGUUCAAAAUGUAUCAUCUAGUUUUCGACAGAAAUUAAUAUAAGAUUAUUUUAUAAACAACAAGCUGAUAAGAACAAAUUACAUGGUAGUAAAAUAUUUUAGAAUUUUACUGCGAUAUAGUUUAUAUAAGAGAGUACUGAAUUAUCCUAUCUAUCAAGCGAUUUCUAUCGAAAAAAUUUAAAAAAAAAUUCUGCCUAUGAGACAAAGUCUUUGUUUACUUUGAAUCAAAAGGCAAGUGAAAUUUGCAAAAGCAUUAUGUUGACUAGGGCUUUUUGGAGGUUUUCAUAUAAUUUCGUAAAAAAUAAAAAAUAUAAUACAGUUAGUAAAAACAUAUUUCUUUCAUAAAUGUGAUCAUAAGUUAAUUCUAUGCCUAGUGGAAUAGACUUUAAAUUUUAUUUCAGUCAACUGAAUAUCCACGCUGCUGACUGUUUAAAAAAAAAAGGAGAAGAAAAAUAUUAAAAAAAACUAUAUAUAUGCAAAAUAAUGAAUACACUUUUAUUUUCACUACUAAUUGCCACCAAUUAAGAUCAAUAUCACCAAAAUCUCCAAAUUAUUUACAUUAAUAAUGUGGUCUCAAUUUUCUCUUGCUUUUUUUCAUUUAUAAUAACCCAAUAAAUUGAGGUCCUUGCNCACAAAUAAAAAAAAAAAAAAAAAAAAAAAAAAAGGUUUCAUACACUUGUGAAAUAUUUCCAUCAAAAGUCCUUGUGAGUUGGUUACUCAUGUACUACAUAUACUACCAUUGACUUUGUUUAUAUUAAAGAGUACUAUAUAUGUCAAUAUAUAUACUACAAAUUACAAUAAAAGAACUUUGUUGAAACCGUAUAUGAAUAUCUUUUGGUGAUUCUUUAUCAUAAAUCCAUCCAAAAUAAUUUGUAGUAUUUACACAUUGUAAUUAAUGUAUCUAGCUACAAAAUCUUUAUAUGUUUAUAAAUAUGAAAGAUUUAUAUUUAUUUCAAAUAUUAUUGGCGUGCCAUAUUUGUACAAUUAAUUAAUGAUGUAUUGUACAUUAAUAAACCCUUCUUUUCAAUAAUAUAUAUAUAUAUAGUAAUGUAGAUGCAGUACUUUUUACAGUAAUGUUACUAACUUUUUGUUUUAGAUUAGAAAUGCCUGUAAGUUUUUAUCUUUUUAUAUGAUUUUUAAAACUUUUUUUUUCAAAAAAUACCUUUUGGUGCAUUUUCUACAAAAAUCUAAGAAUAUUUUGGCAGCAAUUUUAACAUUUAUUGUCUUUUUCUUUAAAUAAAAUAUUUCGAGAUUCUACUAAAAGAUGAUAAACACAUUUUCAGUCACAAAACUGUUUUUUGAGAUAUUUUUUAGAAAAAUAAAUUUCUAGUGAAAAAGAAUUUUCACCGGUUUGACUUUUUAGAAAAUAUCUUAGAAAUUAGUUUUCUGGCUGAAAAAAAAAAAAUUGUUUGUCCAGAUUCGAGAAAAAAUAGUUUUCUUAAAAAAUUUUUAGAAAAGUUUUAUUUCUUUUUCUUAUUUUUUAUAUGAAAAACGAAAGCUAUGGAAAAAAUGGUUUUUGUGAUUUUUUUUUUCAGACAAUAAUUUUUCACUAUUUUUUGGAGGAACCAAACAAACCCUAAAUAGACACAUUCUUUUAUCAUACAGUAUGAAUUCUUUUAAAUGUACUUCUUCUUUUUUUUUUUUAAAUCUCUCUCUUAAUUUUCAAACUAUUAUUAUACAUAAUACAAAAGAAUUAGGGGCAUGGUGAUGAGAUCGUGAUUAAUGGACGGCCAUAAAUGGUUGUUGGUUCAAUUAGGUAGUGGCUCACAUGAAGCAAGGGUUUAUUUGGUGGGCAGGUGAUGGGUGCAUGGGAGGUUUGACGAGUAAAUGUGCACUUCAAGCACCAAAUCACUAUUACCCAUUUGCGCUAUAAUUUAGGAUUCGAGCUUUCGACUUUGGGUUUACUUUAUAUAAGUUUCUGGGGGUGUUCGGUGGCCGAUUUUGAGGUAAGAGUUCGAACCUCAGAAUGUGCUAGACUUUGGAAUUGCAAGCACCAAAUCCCUAGUGUCGUAUAAUUUGGGAUUCGAGCUUUCGUUGGGUUUAGUUUAUAUGAGUUUCUGGAGGUGUUCGGUGGCCGAGUUUGAGGUCGGAGUUCGAACCUUAGUAUAUAUGUGCUAAGCUUUAGAAUUUCAAGCCCCAAAUCACGAGUACUCAUUUGUGCUAUAAUUUAAGAUUCGAGUCUUCGACUUUGGGUUUUCUUUAUAUAAGUUUUUCGGGGUGUUCAGUGGUUGAUUUUGACGUAGGAGUUCGAACCUCAUUAUGUGCUGAACUUUGAAAUUUCAAGCGCUAAAUCACUAGUACUCAUUUGUCCUGUACUUCGGAAUUCCAGCUUUCGUUGGGUUCAGUUUAUAUGAGCUUUUUGGAGUGUUCAGUGGCCGAUCUUGAGGUCGGAGUUCGAACCUCAGUACGUGCUAAACUUUAGAAUUUCAAGUGCCAAAUCACGAGUACUCAUUUGUGCUAUAAUUUGGGAUUCGAGUCUUUGACUUUGGGUUUACUUUAUAUUAAGUUUUUGGGACUGCUCAAUGAGCGACCUUGAGGCUGGAGUUCAAACCUCUGUGUGCGCCAAAAUUUGGAAUUUUAAGCGUCCAAAUCACUAGUACCCAUCUGUGUUAAGAUUUGGGAUAUUGAGUCUUUGACUUUGGGUUUGGUUUAUAUACGCUUUUGAAGAUGAUCCGUGACCAAUCUUGAGGUCAGAGUUUGAACCUCCGUGCAUGCUAAAAUUUGGAAUUUGAAGCGUCCAAAUCACUAGUACUCAUCUAUACUAUAAUUUGGGAUUUUGAGUCUUCGACUUUUGAAUUUGAUUUAUAAACAUUUUUGGGAGGCAGACGUUGAGAUCUGAAUUCGAACCUCAGAGUUUGAACCUCCGUGCGUGCUAACAUUUCGAAUUUCGAGCACCAAAUCACUAAUACUCGUCUCUGUUAAAUCUAGGAGUUCGUACCUCGGAGUUCGUACCUCCUACGUUGGGUUUAGUUUAUGCCACUCUUGAUGUCAGAGUUCGAGCCUUCGUAUCUACUAAAAUUUGAAAAUUUUGAGCCUCAAAAUUCAAACUUAUUUUACAUAGGUGGUUGGAAGUGUAUGGGGCCUAUGAGCAGAGUAAAAAGAAAAAAGAAAAUACUAAAUAUAAUUUAGCGUUAGGUGAGUUUUGGGAGUACCAUAUAUGUGUUUAUAUAUGCACGGUACCUGUCCUUUUUCGAUUGAGUCCUCACAACUUUUAAUUAUAAAUAUCAAAUAAUUUUACUCAAAAAAGAUAAAAAAUUUUAUUAAAUACAUUGGUAUGAUUUCAUCAAAUUUAACCCCCCCAAAAUUUCUUUUCUUUUCUUUUUUCUCUUCCCUUAGAGUUGCCGGUAACAGGAUCGCUCAACUAGUACCACCAACGUAGUGCUCCACCAAUCUCCCUGCGCACUAAUGCCUGCGAACAGCAGCGCGGUGCACCGUUUGAGCUAGGUGCAAUAUUAAAAAAUUAAUUAUUUUAAUAUAUGUUAUUAAAUAAUUAAAUCCUUUUUUUCAUUCCACUUUUACAUACCUCUUGGGGAGUUGAUAUCCUCAAAACCCUUUAUCUGGGGAAUCGAAAUUCAACAAUANNUAUAUAUAUAUAUAUAUAUUUAAAACCAUAGUAAAAAAUUUAAAUUGGCGAAUUAAACCUCAUUAAUAAGUCAAAAUCAUCACCAAAAUAUUUACAGUACAUAAUUCAAACUUUUUAGACCAAAAAAUAAUUUUUAAUAUAAAACAGUUUUUAAUGUAUCCCCUUCUAAGUUCUAAUUAAUUAAUUUGGGGACAACAUUAUGAUUUGCAGGAAUAAAACUGGGAGAACCUUAACAUAAUCAGAUGAAUAGUCCACAUCUAACUCCCGCCCCACAAUUAAAUAAUAAAUAAUAAAUAAAUACACACUUGAUUUAUUUUCAAAUUUUAUUUUAUUAUAAAUUUCCCAUUCAAAGUAUUUUAUAUUGUUAAAAUUAAGUCACAAAAGCACAAUUUAAUCGACUAAAUAGUGAUGUGUCGCUAGUGUGAAGGUUACGCGACAGUGUUGUGAUUAAUAACGUGACAAUUGAAACUUAUAAUAAAUUAAAUUUUAGGGUAAACUUUAAAUACCACUUAGGUGGUUUCGCACUUCUCACUUUAGUAUCCUAUUGUUUUCUCUGUUAAUGUUUCGUUAAAUUAUAUAAAAAAAAACUUCAGAUAUCCUGCCUAAGUUUAUCAAAUAUUUAUUUUAGUACUUUUUAAUUUUAACUUUGUCACUAAUUAAAUGAAAAGAAAUUAGUGCAGGAGACAAUAAAAAGAGAAAAAUAAAAUCACGAAGUACUAAAUCGAUACAUUUUAAAUUACAGGAUAUUAAAAUAAAAAAGUGCGAAAACACACGGGUGAAAUAUCUUGCGCUUCAUAGUUUGAGGAACAAGAAGUGUAAUUUAAUAUUUUAAUAUAAAUCAAUAAAUAAAUUUAAUUUAUUUAUCCAUGAAAAUGGUGGGCCCAUGCGAUGGUUAGGUGCACAUGGGGUCCUGGACUUUGUGGCCAAUCGAGCUAUCAACUGGUCUAUUUUUUUUUGGGUAUUUUGGAUGUAACCUAAUUUCUACAAAAUCAACCCCCACAUGCAUAUGAAUUGCAAAAUCUUAGGGGUGGAGUGUUUUAUGUGCAUGUAUAUUUAUUAUUAUAAUUGUGACACAAGGAGAUAUACUUAUGUGUUAUGUCCAAAUGCAUAUAAUCCUGCAUAAGACAAAAGGAGAUGCCAUGUGCAAGAGGAAUACAAUCAACAGGGCCCCCGUAAUGCUGCUUUCAGAAGCUCGGUGACGUGUUGGCAUUAAUAAUAAGGCAUAAUUCGUGUGUGACUCAGCUCAAAAGUAUUAAAACUUUUUCUGGACGUACUAUUUUCUAUAAGAUUGAUCUUUUAAGUUAAUGGUAUAUAAGUUUGAGAGAAGCUGGGUGACGUGUUGGCAUUAAUAAUAUGGCAUACUUCGUACGUGAUUAAGCUCAAAAGUAUUAAAACUCUUUCUGAACUAUUUUUUAUAAUAUCGAUCUUUCAGAUUAAUGGUAUAUAAGUUUGAGCUAGGCUUGUGUGCUUUUAAAAACAUCGGGGAUAUUCGUGCUAUCAAAUCAUUUUUGAUACUAAGGCUUCCGAAUCGAUGAUCAGCUCAGUAGGCUUGAUACAGAGUAUUUGAAAUAGUUAGAAAAUAAAUUUCGUAAUUUUUUUAUAUUAUUUCACGUAGUCAUUGAAAGGAGUCCAAAAUCAACAAUUUUAAUGGUUGUGGUGAGCCGUUUGCAAGUCUAAUAAUAUAAAAAUAUUCAAAUCGCAUAAAAUUUUAAUUAAAAUUUUUUUAUACUAUAUAAAACAAAGAUCAAUAUAUAUAUUUCAUCAAAAAUUUUAGUGUCAUAUGAUAACUUUUUUGUGAGAUUUUUAUUUUCAACUAUCGAUUUUAAACUCCUUCGUUCAUUAAGUAAAUGAUAUCAAGAACUGAUAAAAUUUAUUUUCUAGAUGUUUCAAGGAGACUCUCGUGCUUCUAAAAAUACACGAGCCAAACUUUGUAACUCUUUUCAAUUUUUAUUUUAUGGUAUAAAUCAUAUUAGUAUUAUGUUUUUUUAAAAAUUUUUGCAUGUGACAUAAUUCAACUUAUCGUCAAUAUUUAACAACAUAUAUUUCCCUAUUAAUAAUAUAUAAGAGCAAUAUUUUGAAAAAUGCACAGCAUAUGUUUCCGCAAAAGCAAUGGAAAUAGAGAAUAGAUUACACAAGAUCUUCCAAUGAUGGGACGUGGUGUGAUAAUUAUUCUUUCCACUAGAUUAUAGAAAAUCUCCAAAAGGGUACGAAUAUUCUUGGACUUUUACCCAUUAUUUGUUGAGUUAUUGUUUAUAUUAUCUUGUAAUUUAAUAAUUGGCUCAAGUUCAAUGAAGCGUAGACAAAGUGAUUAGUAAAAUCUUUGUCCUUGUAAUAUAUUUAAUUCUCCUCGAAAAGAUAAAACUAUUGAUCUUUUGUUUAUUGUUAAUUUAAUUUCCAAAAACCAAUAUAUACCAUUUUGUUGAGUUCCUUGUAUUGGCACCAAAGCACGGUUUUGGUUGACAAAUAAAAAAUUAGAUAAUUUUGAUAUAAAAACUCUAAUUUAAUACUUUUAUUCUGCUUUAGAACAAACAAACAUGUUUAAACAUUAUUAAUUAGAGAUGUUAAUGGUUUUGACUUAUGACUGAUUUCAAAACUCCGGACCCGAAAGAAAUUACUUCGAUCUUUACCAUAUUUCGAAACAUAUCAUACGUACACAAAUUAAAAUUUAAAGCAAAUUCAAUUUUCUUAUAUUACAUAAUAGAAAACCAGUUUGGGUUUGAAUUCUGGUUCGGAUUGAGUGCAAACAAAAAUAUAUCAUACCCGAAUCCGAACCCGAACGUGAUGGGUUUUCGUUAUCUAUAUCCAUAAUUGAAAUAAUAUUUGUUUAGAAUUGAUAACUCAUUGUGUUCAGAUUCAAGUUUGGAUAAAAUUUCACGCAUCUGUUUCCGCUUAUUCAUCAUUCACAAAAUAACACUGCACAAAAAGAAGAAAAAUAAUUCAGGUGGCCCCAAUUUCAUGCAAGUGAUUAUGGACAUGCAAACCGUCGACGUCCCAAAGUUGAAGUCAUUAACUCUAUAAUAAAUUGGUUGAAAAAGAGGCCAACAAAUUAGGCAAUGUGUUACAUCAAAAGAUUACCACUUUUUGAAGCUUUGGUACUUAAUUUUGAUCUUUUCCCUUUUUCCCCCUCACCUUUUUCCUUUUUCUUUUUCUUUUUCACUUUAGUUAUUGUAAGUCAAUGUGAUGAAAGAUCAAGAAUUAGGUUAGAAAAGUAUUAGUGAUUCUGCGUUCUUUGUCUCCUUUUUUUUUCGCUCAAAAUUGACUGGCACAGUAUAUUAAAAGUUGAACUCAGUACCUCUCAGAGAGCGAAUGAGACCAUCAAGAUAACUUAUUUAGUGGUCUCUCAUAUUUGCUGUACUAACUUGUAGUGUUAGUGCUGAAGAAUUAUUGCACGUGUCUGAUUCCUGAAAAAAGCAUGGAAUACUGUUUUCGAAAAAAAAAUUAUGAAAAAUAUAUACUAUUUUUUCACCGUUUUUAUUUUCAGGAUAAAAAAUUUGAAAACAAAUAUACUACGUUUUCUAAAUCUAGGAAAAAUUUUUUUUUCUAAAAAAACUAUUUUUCCCUAGGAACCAGGUGGAUGAAAACUGCUUUCCGGACAGAAAACUGUUUUCCAGAAUAUUUUUCCAGAAGCCAAACACCCACUAAAGGAUAUCAUUUUAACGCAUUAAAUGUGUUUGAAAUUCUUAAUUAGUAAAACAAACAAUUUUUGCCAAAAUUACUGAUCUUCUCAUUGAUCUUUGGCAUAAUUGUGCUCAUUACAUGUUCUUGCACUCUAGAUAUGUGACACCUUAUUUGGUUAUAAAUAUGUUUUGCUGUGCCAAAAGAGACCAAUCUUAGACAUAUAAAAUUAAAUUGGAUGUAGCAUUGCUCUUUUCCAAAUAGUGUGCAACUAACUUAGGCAUCAUACAUGUAAAAAGAAACUUAAUUUGAAGUUUUUAUGAAGAGUAAUAUCAUUAUAUAUUUUAUAUACAAAAUCCCUAUGUUUUCACCAAUCCACAUAUAUAUAAGCCUAUUUUUCCAUUACAUUUUCUUGAUCUCUCUUCAACUUCUUGCAACUUACGUUAUCAAAUUUAAUUCUUGUUGCAAUAAAACCAAAAGGAAUUACAAAGGGAUCGAGCUCAUGACUAGGAAGAACAUAAAACAUUAUAUGCAGUUCAAAUUAAAAGGAAAAAAGUGGCCUAGCCCUUGAAAUUUAUUGUCAAAAUGCCCAAGCACACUUGGAUGCAACAUUUUUAAUAUGCAUGGGCCAUCUAAAAAUCCAUUCAAUCAAGAGAACACCUCACCCGCAAGGCAUGUGGAUUCUAUCCAUCAACCCUAUGUGUUGGUUAGGAGAAAAUUAUUCCCUCGACUUCGUCCGUCACGUCAGCUGUGAACCGCCCAGCUAUCUGCCAUUCAUCGCACCGCUCUUCAUAAGUCGCAACCGUUCGAUGACUGAUGUGGCGGACCAGGUCCGGGUGAUAACUUCGCGUCGGUUAGAGUCUAAGGACACAUGCAAUGCCCCCUUUGAAAGGGCCACUCAGUUCAAAAUGGUCCCUCCUGAGCAGGGUUCUGGAGUUGGAGCUAUUCAAAUGAGUGGUUCUGAUCCCUUGCUUUCAAUGAACAUUGGCUAGAGGACGGGGCAAGUGCAAAACGUAGGCAAAUGUUGCCUCCAUUGCUAGGGUUUUUGUGUCCAAACACCCAUGUGGUGGUGGGGCUAUCCAUGACAUUGGCUACAAAUAGUUGGGUGGAGAGGCCCAUCCACAUUAGUAUUUGAUUUGAUCACUCUCACUUGGAGAGAUCGUCUAUGCGUGGUGCGUUUUUGAGAGAGACAGAGAGAAAGGCAGCAAACUAUUUGCUUCGUUUAUUUUUUUAGAAAUGAGCCGAGCAGCCCGAAAUAUGAAGCAAAUAAACUUUGGAUUUGAAAUCUCGAAUACCGAUCAUCAAGUUCUUAGCCAACUGCGAUAGAUAGUUUGCCUCUCUAGCUCUCUCUACUAUUACUAAUGGACCGGCCAUGUGAUCUCUAUGUAGAAUGUAUGGUACACACCUUAAUUUUCUUAGGUUCUUGGAAAGGUGCUUCUCACCUCCCAUUAAUUGUGAGGAGGCUUCAAAGAAGCAUGAGCACGACAAAAAGGGGGGAGGAGGGAAAAGAAAUUGGAAAGUUAGAUAGGGACAGCAAUGAGGGUCACCUACUUGGUUUGCCCCAAUGAAGAGCAAAUUGUUUUGUGCCAUUGAUUCAUAUCAUGUGUUUGUUGGCUAUUUAUUAUUAACUAAAAGAGGACCAAUUUUUUGGCCUGCGAUAAUAUGCCCAAAAGACUAAAGGUUGAGUUGGGUAAGUCUAAUAAGUUAAGUGCGGCUGCAGUCCACAAUAGACCUAACGGCAAGAGACCCGACCUAGCAUCCAGAUGGUUGAGUUUGGUUAAAGCCCGUGAGGGCUAGCGCGGCUGAACUCUUAAGUGCGAUAAGUUCGCCCUUCUUAUCAGCACGUAUUUUUUGGAUGGUUGGUUUGCGCUUACGAUCCACAGUAUUUUCGUAACAAUCUUAUGCUUAUUUGUAUAAUUUGAAAUAGCCUAGAUAAAUUUUGUGAUCUACUAUUAAUGAUAUCAGACAUUAUUUCUAAAUAGUUUAAAUAGUUUAGAUCAUGUUCAACGAUAUCGAUCAUCGAUGGAAGCUCGAUUAUCAAAAAAAUUUGAUAGUAAUCCGAGUCGUUUAUUAUAUAUUUCAAAUGCUUCAGAUCAAAUCUAACGGAUUCAAUCGUCGAUUUGGAAGUGCUGGCAUCGAAAAUGACUUGAUAACACUGACGUCAUUGUACUUCUAAAAGUACACAUGUUUAGCUCUCUGGCUGGGGUGCUUUUACAAGCACCAAGGUAUUGGUGCUAUAUAAUUUUUGGAGGCUUCAUCGAAAACAACAAAUCGGUAAUAAUACAGUUCGUUUGUUAUCAAUAGUAUUUUAGUCCAACUACAUACAUAUAUACAUAUAUAUCACUAUAUUCUUUGAAGUCGUUAAAAUAGCAAACCGAAAUUUUUAAUCUGCAGCAUAACUGGGCUCGACGAUAUCUGUAAUUGUUAGAAUAGUUCCAGGAAGAGUGAUGCAACAAGUACAUAAAAUGAGUUAAACAUAACCAUAAACAUUUUACUGUCUAAACUUUUUUGUGCAAAGUUCACAUAAGCUAAUUAAAAACAUACAUCAAUUAUCAAAUUUGAACAAUAUAAAGUCAAGGAUCCAAAUAAGUUGAUUCGGUUCGAUUUUACAUAUAAUUCCGUUCGGUUCGACUCUAAAAGUAAAAAACCAAAAGAACUGAAUAAAUCGAAUAGAUCAAAAUUUUAAUAACUCAAUAAGUAUUAAUCUUUAAUUAUAAAAAAAAAAGAAAGAACUUUAAAUACUAUCUAUGUGGUUUCGCACUUUUUCACUUUAGUAUCCUAUGGUUUAAAGUGUAUCAAUUUAGAAUCCUAUGAUUUUAUUUUUCUCUUUUUAUUAUUCAUUACACUAAUUAUUUUUCGUUAAACCAGUGACAAAGUUAAAACUAAAGCGUAUUAAAAUAAAUAUUCGAUAAAUCUAGAUUGGGUAUCUGAAGUUUUUUAUAUACAAUUUAACAAAAUAUUAACAGAGGAGCUGACAAAAGAGAAAAAUGAAACCACAUGGUACUAACUUGAUACACUUUAAACCACAGGAUACUAAAGUGAGAAACGACGAAACCGCAGGGAUGGUAUUUGAAGUUUACCCAAAAAAAUAUGUACUAAUUUUACAUAAUAAUUAAAUAAUUAGAGAUAUUAAUUAUUCUUAUCUUAGAUUAAUAAUUUUCAACAUAAAAUUAGUUAUGAAUAUAUCUUAUUUUUAGUAGGCUAAAAAGAUUUAAACUAAAUGAAGAUAAUUUACUUAAUUAAAUCAAAUAAAUCGAAUCUAACCUUCGGUUCAGUUUGUGCCUCUAAUUCGGUUCAGUCCGAUAUCUUAAAAAACUGUAAAAAUUAAACCGAACCGAACCGAACCGAACCGACCGAUGCUCACCCCUAAGACUAGUGCCAAUCAAUUCACUGAGCUCAUGAAGCUCAUUACACUCAUCUCCUUUUAAGUUCCAAAAACAACAAAUUCUCUAACUACAAUAAAUUUCUUUGAUAUCAUUAUGACAAUGAAAGGGCAAUGAAACUAAUCCCGGACAAAGUGAUGUGGUUCAUUCCCCUCCUCACCUUUUGCCUCUGCAACAAAAUAGUGUUCAAAGUGGGUACAACCCCGUGCGUAAGAUUCGCUACGCACCGGAUUGAUUUUGACGGACUUUAUUAUAAAAUAAUUCUUUAAAAUUUAUAAUUUACGAAAUAAUUCUGCCAAAUUUAUAUUUAGCAAAUUAAUCCUCUUUUCGUCGUGUAGCAACCACGUGGGAUUAUUUUUCGAAAAGCGGUGAAUCGUUUACCGUGUUUUUCCAUGUCUUUUAAAGGCGGUGAAUCGUUACUUGCAUUGUCCAUUUUUUUUAAAAUGCGGUGAAUCAUUCACCGUUGUCUUCUAUUUCUUAGGCUGUUAAAAUUAUAUGAAAUUAUAUGGAUAAAUUAUUAGAAUUUUCAGGCUGUUAAAAUUAUAUGUGAUUUGUUAAAAUUUUUAUGUGAUUGUUAGUAUUAUAUAUGAGAUAUAGAAAGAAACAAUAAAUAAGUGAAAGGUGGUGAAUGAUUCAGCAUCUUUGUGAAAAAUUAAGAAGGCGAUGAAUAAUUCACCGUCUUCAAAAAAAAUCUUCACCCUGGCGCCUACAUACCAAAAGGAAGGUUAGGAUUAUUUUGCAAAUUAUCAAAUUUUAGAGAAUUGUUUUGUAAAAAAAAUCUGAUUCUGAUGCUGAAUUUUAGUAGAAUUAAUCUGCACCGUCUAUAUCGAAUCGUACAGAUUAAUCAUACUAAAAUUCACCAGCUGAACAAACAGAGUUGUAUGAAAUUUAAUAAAAUCUUGCGUGUAUAUUACAAAAGACUCUUUUCUCUCUCUCUCUCUCUCUCUCUCUUAUUUUUCUAAUUAAAUAUAUAAUUGCUGUGCCAAAAAGUACAAUAUAAAAUCUAUCACUUCAUUGAGAGGGAUGUAUCAAGCUUAGAGUCCAACAUCACAUUUAAACACAGGUACUGUGUAGGCUAGGGUGUAUUUGAGCUGUCUUAUUUAACAUGAAAACUCCUUAAAAAGAGCCAUAAAAUAAAAUAUAGGUUAAAUUACAUAAAACUCUCUGUAACUAUUUCACUUUUUAUUUUUUCUUUCGGAGUUUCAAAACUUUAUAUUUUGUCUCUUUAAAAUUGUAAAAAAUAUUUUCAGAGGGUUACCAUAUUAAUAGAGAGGGCAAAAUGAUCAAAUUAUUAUUAUUUUUAUAUAAGAAAAAAAUAAUUUUUAAUAUAUUUUAUUAUUUUAGAGAAUAUUUUCGGUAUAAAUUAUAAAAAAAAAAAGAUAGAAUAGUGAUAGAAUCCUAAGGGAGGAGGCUAAAUGAAAUAACUUGAAAUGUUAAGGUGUAAAAAUGUAGAUUUUUUGAAAAUUUAAGAGAAAAGGUACAAAAAAAAAGAUACUUAUCAAAAAUUUACAAGCAAUAUAUAUAUAUAUAUAUAUAUAUAUAUAUAAUUGAGCUCCUAUGCUUUUAAAAGUACCAAGCACUUGAUACUUGGUACAGCUGGAAUACUAUCGAUAGUAUAAAGUGUUUGGUGCGAGUUUUCCGCCGUUAGAUUUAACCCUUUGAUUAUUUUCAUCCGUUAGAUUAUAUUAUUUAACCAAUAACUCACUUAACCCUAGGGGGACUCACAUUAUUCUAACUGUAUAUUUUCUCAUUCAUAAAUCGAAAACCUAAUAACACUAAUAAUUUGAUGCUAUUAAUAGUAUUCCAGCCUAGUUCUAUAUAUAUAUAGAGUUGGACUGGGCUACUAUUAGUAGCAAAAUUUCAUUAUUGCUAUCAGUUUUUUAGCCUUUGGAUCAACUCUUUUCAUCAUUUCUAACCAUUGGAUUAAAUACUAUAACCCAGUAGGGACCACUCAACCCUAGGGGGACCACUCAACUCUAACUGACUAAUAUCAACCUAACCUUACAAUUUUUUAUCCAAGGGUUAAAAACUUGAUAGCAAAAAAAGUGUUUUACUAGUAAUAGUAUUCCAGCUUAAUUAUAUAUAUAUAUAUAUUAUAACAUAUUGAUUUCUGUUUGUUAUAGAUAUAAUGACAAAUUUCACUUACAAAGUGAUUUUUCUUAUUUCCAAAAAAUAAACUUAUAUACAUAAUGAAUACGCUACUAGUAUCUAUUAUAAACUUAAUUUCGAUGUGGAGACAGGGUCUUAAUGAAUGUACAAAUCAUGUGACCCUGUGUGUGCUUCAUGUCUAGCUAACACAGCACUACUAUUUUGUGGUUCUCAUAUGCUGUGCAAUGAAUUGUUCCUACUUUUUUAAAAAAAAUACUCUUUUCAUUCUUAAUGAGAAUGAAUUAAAUCUUGGUCAAAUAAAGAGGCUUAUUGUGCAUAUUGUAGCAAAAUUCACAUGGGCCUGCAGUGUGUACAGCUACAACAAUAACAUCGUGACAAUGGCAAUAAUAAUAUUAAGUUUAUAUAAUUAAUGCUACUGCUCUGUUCAUUAAGCUAUGAAUUAAUGCAUGAGGGUUUAUUUAUUGUUACUUUGGUGGCUACAUGGGGAAAAGAGAAAAGUAAUUAAAGAACAAAAAGUAUUCAAACAAUCUCUAUGCCCCUUCCUUUUUCAUUUUUUUCUUAAAAACGAACUCUGCUAAAAUUAUAAAGUAAUUGAGUUUCAAACUUAAAAUAUCAUAUACCAGCCAUUAAGUUCUUACUCAAUUUAUAUGGUUGGUGUGUAUAUAUAUAUAUUCGAAAUUGGAGACAUGAUUUUGGUGUGUAUAAUGAAAAAUCUAAGAUGUUUGGGGCUCGUAUUGCUUUAUCGGGAAAUUAGCUUUAUAUGGAUAUUGUGAGAUAGGUUCGAUCGAGAGAUCAAAUUGGCGGUUUGACUUGACUCAAGAUGAAUUUUUCGGCGAGCUUUUAGACAACUAAGCAAAAGAACAACUACUUAACUAGCUAUUACUUUUCUAGCCACCAUUUUACGACAUAAGAAGAGCAAAGUUGAUCGACAGUAGAGAUAUUUUGACGGCUUCAACCAUCAUAUUAUAGUCUUAGAAAGAGAAGCUCUGAAACACAUUCGUGCUAUUCCAAACCUUCUACAGCAUCACUGAAACUCCACCAUUUUACAGUACUAAUAAAUGAGGCCUAAAUACACCGCUCGUAGACAACUUCGAUGGAGAAUGGAGGCCCACUUACUUAUAAGGCCUUGUAUAGUUGCGCUCGCCUUUUUUUUUACUUGAUCAUGCAAAAUUUGAAUAUAUAAAAACUACAUAACCAAAACCAAAUUGGGCUUGCAUUUUAGGGCCUCAUAUGGGCCUAGUAACCAAAAUUUGGGCCAAAAGCCGACCCACAACGAAGCCCAUUAUGAUGGGCUUAACUAACCAAACAUUUUUUUAUGUGGUAGAUGAACCAACGAAGUAGUUGCUGCUAACACUAUUUCUGAGUCAUUUCUCGCAUAAUUGAUUUUUCAGAAAAUGUGGUCUUAGUGCAGAUCCUAGUCCUAAGCUCCCAACAUCAAUUUUUCUUUUUUUUUAAUUUGAUUAGAAUGAACAAUUUUGCGCUAAGUAAUAAAGCAAAGUGACAGCUAAAGAUAGUCGCAAAAGAUCAUUAAGUUACAUAUAAAGGUGGUUGAACCAAAUAUAUUGUGAGAUCAUAUAGAAAAUCAAAAAUUUUGUGGUGAUAUGCAUUGUGUAAACACCCUAUACUUGGUUUUUUCACAGUAAAAAAUAAAUAAAUAAAAUGUGAGUUGCACAUGAGCUACAAGUCUUUUGAGAUCAAUGCCUGUCCCUUAGAGGAAGUUCAUGGUUUCUAAAGGGCUCAAACCAAUCCAUAACUCAAGCUCAUGGUUUGGUUUGAGUCCUUAAUAAAAGUUUAGAAUGACAUCUAAGCUUGGUUAACACUUUCGUCUAUUUUCAAACUCAAUUGCUUCCCUUUCAGCGCUAUGUCAGUCCAGUUUUAUUCGGUUCUUGUCCGUUUCUUCUUAAGGUCAUAUCUAAAUGUCGGAAUAACUUAUUCCGUAUAUAUAAAAAAGAAAAUCAAUAUGAUUGAAAGGAGCCCCGGCUACUAUACUCUUAUGAGUACGAUCAUCUUUAUACUCAUGAGUUGUUUUUUGUGAUAGAGCUUCCGAAUCGACGAUCCAUUCCGUUAAACAUUAUCUAGAGUAUUUAAAACUUCUAGAAAUCAAAUUUUAUAAUUUUUCGAUAUCAUUUGCCUUACGAUCAAAAGCUCACAAAAUUGACAAUUUUUAACGACCAGUGUGGAAUAUUUGCUAGUUUAACAAUGUAAAAGAAUCGGAAUAGAUUGAAUAUUUGAUAGAAAAUUCUAUUCACUACCUAAAUAAAGAUUAAUAACCCCGAUCUUAAAUUGAAGGAUCUGAUUAUCUAUUCUUAGGAGGUCGUUCGAUUUUGACCGUUCAUUUUAUACCCGCUUGAUGGGCUUUAUAAUGAUUUCAAAAAUUUACGAAAUUUAUUUUCUAAAAGUUUCAAAUAUUCUAGAUUAUAUUUAACAGUGUGGAUCGUCGAUUCGAAAACCCCAACAUCAAAAAUAACUUAUGAGUACAAAGGACUCUAUACUAAUAAAAGUAUAAUAGUCCUACUCGAUUGAAAGUAAGAAGUUUAAGUUUUACUUUUUUAAAAACCUUGUUAUUUAUAAUUUGAUAGGAUAGUAUAUUAAUAGGAUAGUAUAUUUCACCUAUAAGGUAUUUUUUCUUUUUCGAAAAACUAACUUAAAUGCCGAAUUGAUCACAAUCCUUAUUAAUCAAAUAUACAAAUUUCUCAAAAGAAUUAAGAAGAUAUAUCGAAAAACAUAUUCAUGCAUUCCGACGGAGCCUAGUUCUUACAUAACCACACUGAGCUUGUCUAGCAUGUCAAUAAGGCCUAGAACACCAUAAAAAGAAUAUUAGUACCGAUUAAAAACGAAAAUAAGUGUGAGACGUACCUCAGAUAGUUCUAUAUAUAAAUAUAAUAUAAUAUAAUAGAGCUACAUUUUUAACUUGGCUUAAGUAUUUUGGGUGAUAAUUAGGGUCAAGAGGUUAAGAGAGUUAAGCGUAUUAGGAGCAUAGUAGUCCUAGCUAUGAUGGAUAACUUCCUAGAAAGUUGGGGCGUCACAGUUGGUAUCAGAACCAAUUACCAGCCGGAAGUGUGAGAUGAGUCUCGGCUGAGUUAGGAAGACUAGCAAGAGGAGUCUCAAAUCGCCUGAUACUUGUGAGUCUGAGCCUGACGAGAACGUCAGGAUUUAAAGGAAGGGAGAUUGUGAGACCCCAGAUAAUUCUAUAUAUAAGAUAUAAUAGGGCUAAACUCUUAAUCCUACUCAAGCAUUUUGGGUAGUAGCUAGGUUUAAGAGAUUAAGAGAGUUAAGCGUGUUAGGGCGAAAGUAGUCUAAAAUUAGGGCGUCACAGUCAGUCUCUCCUGUGGUCCUUCUUGUGCAGAUUUUAAGAUAGCAAGCAUUACUGGCACAAUUAUGUGUUCUUGAAAUGUGUCGGAGCACCAUGCAUGAUACCUGAUCAACAAGCAUUUAUUGGAGAUUAGGAUCCAUCCCAUCGACUCGGUCCACCGCAUAAUAUUGCUCUUACUGGUUGCUGACGCUCGAUGUACAUAACAUAAAAGAUUUUAAUCCGUUAAACCGCACACAGAUAUAUAUGUUAUAUAUGAUUGCUCGCACAUUAGUGGCCUUAUGUUAAGAGUUUACACAUAAAUUCUCCCCGCAUCAGAUAAUCAUAAAAGUACUAGAGGAUAUAAAUCUAAUAGACAUAAAGCUUUUAGAUUGAAUGAGUUUUACUAGAUAUAUAGCAUCUUUGGACUCAAUGUGGGACUUGGGAGUCCCACACUGAACCACCGUGCAUGAGUGAGUAGUCCUUCGUCUUCACUCCUUUAAUGGAGCUACUGCCGACAUGCAUGUUCAAAUUGAAUGCGGAUGCUGAGAACCAAUUCAGAGGUACAAAAACAAUAACUUUUUUUAAAAAAAGUUAUUGUCCGGCGCAUCUAAUUCAGAUACAAUUUAUUUGAAUCUCAAAAUAGCAUUUAUGCUAUUCAACGGUAGUGAGAGUUGCGUCUAACCAUUUUUUUUUCUCUCAAUUCUAAGCCAACAUGUGGCACAUCUUCUUUACUGGAUGUUAAUAAGCUCGAUUAAGUUCUUAAUGAGCCCACCAGUUAGAUCUUAUAUCUUAUUAACCAUUAACAACCUCAAAGUUCUAAAUUGGAUCACGUAGUAUUCGUGUUGAUUAAUCUAGUCUAACAGAGCUGAUCGUCGAUUUAGAAGCCGCAUCAUUGAAAACAACUUGGUAAUGCGGAGGUCUCAAUACUACCGAUAGCAUACCAGUCUAGCUCUCUCUCUCUCUCUCUCUCUCUCUCUCUCUCUCUCUUUAUAUAUAUAGAGAGAGAGAGAGAGUUGAGUUGGAAUACUAUCGGUAGCAAACGGACUCCUUUGCCACCCAUUUGUUUUCGAUGAUGGAGCCUUCAAAUCGACGAUCUACACCGUUGAACAUGAUCUAUACCCCUUAAAGUAUCUAGAAACUAAAUUACAAAUCUUUUCAACAUCAUUUACCUAAUAAUCAACGGGUUUCAAAUUUUAUAAUUUUAGUGGUAAAUAUAAGGCGUUUUCUCAUUUAACGGUAUAAACUUAUCCAAAUCAAUUGAAUUUUGGUUAGAAAAUUCUUUAAACUAUUUAGAACAAGAUCUAUACUAUCGAUCUUAAUUAUAAAAUUUCUAUCCUCUCUUUUUAGAGGAUAUUUAUUUUCAGCCGUUCAUUUUUACGCCCACUUGAUGGAUAAGAGAACAAUAUAGAAAAAGUAUGAAAUUUGAAUUCUAGAUACUUCAAAUGGUAUAGAUUAUUUUCAACGGUGCCGAUCGUCGAUUUGGAGGUUCCAUCAUCGAAAACAAAUGGGUGGAAACGGAGCCUGUUUGCUACCGAUAGUAUUGCAGCUCAACUCUCUCUCUCUCUCUCUCUCUCUCUAUAUAUAUAUAUAUAUAUAUAUAUGCUACUAUACUAUCGAUAGUACCAAGUGAUUAGUGCUAUCGACUUUUCAGUCGUUGGAUGAAAUGAUGUGCAGUUAAGAUGAUUGCGAUCCCUUAGGGUCGACUUUUCAGUCGUUGGAUGAAAUGAUGUGCGGUUAAGAUGAUUGCGAUCCCUUAGGGUUGAGUGGGUGAUUAGUUGAAUAGUAUAAUCUAACGGAUGAAAAUGAUCAAAGGAUAGAUGUAAUGGCAGAAAAAUCGAUAGUACUAAGAGUUUGGUACUAUCGAUAGUAUAGCAGUAGUACUCUAUAUAUUAUGAUUAAAUGGUAGAUUUAACGAUAGAAAAUUCGAUAGUGCCGCUUUUAAUACUAUCGAAUUUUUUACCAUUAUAUCUACCAUUUAAUCAUUUUUAUCAAUUAAAUUAUACUAUUCAAUCAACUGCUCACUCUUUUGGAUGCAAUUUACGAGAAGCUAUAAAUGGGGGGAAGUGAGGUGGAAGUAGGCUUAUCCUACACUCCUGGCCCAUGCUCAUUUAUGGUCGCAAUAAAUUUUGUAGCAGAUUGUCAGAUUAAUCAGUCUCCUACGUACUAUUCUCUGCAUUUUAUUUAACUCAGGUGAGACCAUACAUCAAUCUAGUAAGAAAUAAUUCUGAGACAAUAAAAAUACAAUAAACAAUCUAACUCGAUACCUCUAGAUCAAUCUAGUAAAAAAAAAUUCCGAAGCAAUAGAACUACAGCAAAUAUUCAAACUGGAAACCUCUUGAAACAGGAGGAACUAACAACUGCUGCCUAUGUUACCAUAUUAAUUGCUCAAGAAAUUGAUCUGAUAUAAAAAUAAUUCAGAAUUAGUUUUAACCGAAGUGGUUGAUAAGAACGUAAAUAUGAAUAGUUUUACGUCAAAUAAUGAUUCAAAUGCACUAGGAGAUCCAAAUUUAAUAAAAUUUAAUGUCAGGACUUAGAAAUUUUUUUUAAGAUUUGUCUUUGUAAUCACUCAAAUUUCAAACCAGAUAUCUAUUGAAGAUUUUGCCUUGAUCUUCUAAAAGCAUCUCUGUGAAUUUCGGAAAGCUCGUAGCCUUUCUUUUUCGCUUGUAUUUUCAUGCCGCUUGACAUCUUUCUGUUUCCUUUAUGAGCGGUGAUUGAUCUUUAAAUAAAUGUGGCUCCACCCCCUCUCAAUUCAAAAUCUUGAUUUGUAAUCCUCUACUUUUUUCUUUUUUUGAGAGAGAGAGACAGGUGGCACGCUACCUCCGCUUCAUUUAUUUCAUUUAGAAAUAAACUUAGCUAGAAAUGUAAAUCAAUUAGAAUUCGAACUUGGGACCUCGAGUACCAAUCAUCAAGCCCUUACCACUUGCGCUAGGAACGGUCGGUGUAAUCCUCUACUUCAAAGUAAUAAAAGAACUUUUUUUUCUCUCUCUCUCUCUUGUUCUUAUUUAAGAACGAAUAGAUCCUAACUUAGCAAGUAUAGAGAUAAGUUUGCUCACUUUACGAAAAAAGGCGAGCAUCGCACGGACUGAACAAGCGAUUUAGCUUAAGUCCAUGACAUUAAACUCUAUAUUGAAUGGUAUUAGAGUUGGUGGUGUGGUCCGAUCUGAGUUAACCAGGUUCAAAUUGAACAUGUUUUUGAGCUAACAUUUUAGGCAACACACCUGUCACAUUUUUGCUCUUCAAUUAGUAGUUAAACGCAUUAAUAUUUUAGGUAACACACACUUCUCAGUUCUCACUUAGCUCUUCCAUAAAUUGGUGGUAGCUACACUCACUUAUUGCUCUUCCAACCUGUUCCUCUCCAGUAAUAUUCAUUCGCUCUUUUGCUACGUUUCCCUGUAGAUCCAUGUGACCAUGUCACUCAAUACUUGGUCCCAAUUCGACUACGUACUCCAAAACUGUACCUAACGCAGUCGGCUAAAAAUUUUAAUGAUCGGUAUCUGAGAUCUUAAGUUAAAAUUCUAAUUGUUUUAUGUUUCUAGCUCAGUUCGUUCUUAAAAAUGAACGAAAUUGAUAGGUUACUACUGUCUUUCUUUCUCGUGAAAGAAAAUUCGUGCAUGAAAUAUCUGAUUUCUCAAAAAAAGUAUAGAAAAUUAUUUUCUCGACAUUAUAUAUUUUUUUUGUUCCUUGGAUACAAAGUUAAAAAAUGAAAUAAUAUCUAGAAUUUUUUUAAAAAAUAAUUUUUAAAAAAAUGAAAAAGAGGAAAAAUAUGGUUUCAUUCAAAAAAGUUAUAUUUUACAGUAUUUUUGGAAAAAUAAACACUCCGUAACUAUGCAUCAAUUAAUGCACUGCACACACCACGAAUCCCUUGUCCCCAACUCCCAACUACUUUUCGUCCUUCUUUAAAAAUAGGGUGUUCACAUAACAUUUAUUUUCACACACUAGAGAAUUUAGAAAUUUCAAAAAUGUUUUUUAAGUUUUUUUUUUAAAAUCUUUUAGUAACUUUAAAAUGAUAGGUAGAUUUAUCAUUAGAAAAGUAUUAGGUUCAAAUACUUAUCUCGAUCAAAUUUUUAUUAUUAUUAUUAUUUUAUAAUAUUAGAUGAGAGGAAAUUAAUGUAAAGUGUUUUAAUUAAUUCUAUGUCGUAAGCAUUUUGAACAAUGCAUUCGCAAAUUAAGCUGUAUAUUUCUACUCAGAUAGUUUAAAAAUGAUCUGAAUAAGUCUUAUGUUAGAGAUGAAUAAAUCAUAUCAUGUGUAAUAAAGAUAUAAAUAAUCAACGUGACGCGUAUUAUAUGACAUAGAUUUCGGCUAAGACAAAGAGUGCACUAAUUAAUUAACAAACUAUUACCUAAAUCAGAUCUCAAACUAACUUGGAUUGUAAAUGCGGAUCAGUUGUAGAAUCAAUUUUUUUACUAAUCGGAUCGCAAAUUUACAUUAGUUAGAAGAGUAGUAAGAGAAUUUAAAAAAAGUACGAAAAAUAAUAUAUAUAUAUAUAUAUAUAUAUAUAUAUAUAUAUAUAUAUAUAUAUAUAUAUAUAUAUAUAUGAGAGCCUUCGCGGAAUGAUUUGUUAGGAGUUGAGCUAGAAUACUAUCGGUAGUAAACGAGCCGUUUUAUUACCGAUUUGUUUUCGAUGAUAGAGCUUCAAAAUUGACGAUCGGCUCCGUUAAAUAUGAUCUAAACCAUUUAAACUACCUAGAAAUCAAAUUUCACGCACUUUUGAUAUUGUUCUUUUAUCCAUCAAGUGAAUAGAAAAAUAAAUGACUGAAAAUAAAUACUCUUUAAAAAAUGAUGAUAGGAGUCUUGUAAUUAAGAUCAAGAGUAUAGAUCUUGUUUUAAAUAGUUUAAAGAAUUUUCUAACAAAAAUUCAAUUAAUUUGGAUAUCUUUAUGCCGGUAAAUAAGAAAACGCCUCUUAUCGACCAUUAAAAUUACAAAUUUUGAAACCCUUUGAUCAUUAGACAAAUGAUGUCGAAAAGAUUUGAAAUUUAAUUUCUAAACAUUUCAAGUGGUAUAGAUCAUGUUCAACGGAGCCGAUCGUCAAUUUGAAAGCUCUAUCAUCGAAAAUAAAUCGGUCGUAAAACGGCUCGUUUACUACCGAUAGUAUUCUAGCUCAACUCGAUAUGUUAGUGUAUAUAUGCUUUUCACGUGAGGUGAAAUAUAAGGCGCUGUCACUUUUUUAGUUUUUUUUUUAAUUUUAAUUUUUGUAUAAUUUGAUAUAUGGAAUAAAUUUUUUCUCUUAUUAUUAUUAUUAUUAUUAUUAUUAUUGGUUAGGUUACUAAGCGCUCUGUCCAAGUGAAAGUGAUAACUUAUUUAAAAACUAUUUUAGAAGUAGAAAAAAAUUAUUUUUAAAUUUUUAUUUUUUAUUGUCGAAUAAAUAUUUUAGAUUUAACAAUUGCAAGUAAUCCACCACCCCCUUCUACGUUAUUUCAUGAAGAAAUUCCAUUGAAAAAAUGGCAAUGAUGCGAGACGAGGCCUAAAGAAGGGCAGAAGCAAAAAAAAAUAUAUAUAUAUAUAUAUAUUUUUCUAUUUUCUGACAUGAAUAUAUAUAUAUAAAAAGUAUAUAGUAACAAAUUCAUUGCAAUUGACACUGCAUAAUAUAUUUACAUAAAGACAUGUGUAAUGUAUUUCAACAAUCAAAGCAGAAGCUAACUCUGAUUCCAUAUUAUUUAUAAUACAAUUUUAAUAAAAAAUAAUAAUUCAGAAAUAAUUUUAGCCUUCGUUUGAAAUUACGAAGAGAUUGCAUGACUACAUACAAUAAAAAAGUAUGAAAAAAAAAUUAAAUAUUUAUUUUUAGGAAUAAUUGUCUAUAUACCCCUCAAAACUUCAGAAAUAUCUCGUUUAACUCUACUUUUUUUUUUCUUUCCAAUAUAUCCCUUAUAUAUUCCUCCGUUAUUCCAAAAUAUCCCCGCAGUUAUCACCUGUUAAGUUAACUUGGGUUAAACGUGGGUUAAAUAUCUACCACAGUUAAAAAAAAUUAAAAUACCACUUUUGUCCUUAACUUAAAGUCAAAUAAGAAAUGUUGGUGAAUAUGGUAGAAGUAUAUAUUUGAAAAGAUUAAAAAGUAAAAUACUUUUUAUGCCCCUAACUUAAGGACAAAUAAGGAAAGUCGGUGCUGGUAGAAGGAUAUAUUUAAAAGGGCAAAAUAGUAAUUUCAUAGAGAUAACAGAGUUCAUUAACCGAUCUUAACUCUAGGGAUAUAUUUGAAAUAGAUUGGAACGUAAAAAAUAUAUUUUCAAUAUUAGCCUUCUAAAAAAGAUAAAUCAGAAAGUCGAAAAGAUAUUUUUCGAGAUAUAAGUAAUUGCCCCUUAUUUUUAUUACAUAAUAUCAUAUUUUAUAUAUCAUAAUGAAUCAGGUAUAAUAUUUUUUUUUCUCUCAUUAAAAAGAAUAAAAAUAACACUUUUAUACACUUUCAUCUAAAUUUCGUUUUACCUGUUGGCAUUACAUUUUGCCUCCGUAACAAGCAAGAUAUUAAUUGCAUAUAUAACUCCCAACCCCAUCCAUCAAAGCUAAGCCUCUAUAUAAACCCCUCACACCAUCACUACGACACUCCACUGAGCAACACUACUACUACUACUAUUAUUACUACUACUACUACUACUACACAAACUAAACACUUCCUCCCUCUCUAUAAAAUGUCCGGCCGCUCUUCCGCACCGCUUACGGCCGCGGCGCUGCUGCUGGGCGUGCUGCUGCUGGCAGCGCCGGCGGCGGAGGCGCUGACGUGCGGGCAGGUGGUGUCGUUCAUCUCGCAGUGCCUGCAGUACGCGCGAGGCCCGGGCACCAGCCCGCCGCCCGCGGCCUGCUGCAGCGGCGUGAAAGGGCUGAACAACGCCGCGCAGUCGACGCCCGACCGGCAGACCGCCUGCAACUGCCUGAAGAAAGCCGCCGGAACGGUCACCGGGCUGAAGGCCGGCCUCGUCGCCGGCAUCCCCCAACAGUGCGGGGUCAACGUCCCCUACGCCAUCAGCACCUCCACCGACUGCUCUAAGUAAGAACACAUACAUGUCAUCCGCUUAUGAGUCAGUUUUGUACGCAUGACAAAUUUACUGUCUAAAGAAUGAACUUUUCAUUGAACGACGAGUACUAAUUAAAGAUGUGGUCGGUACCAUAGAAAAUGAACUCAAAAAUAUAUUUAACAAAAUUUAUAAAAAAAAUAUACUUAAAAAUUAGGUAUAAAUUUGUUGGCCACUCCAGAUUUUGAAAUUAUAUACCUGAGAUUUUAGUUAGAAAUUCUCAUACUUAGUUGCAGGGAUUGCAAUGUUACGGAGAUCUAUCUAACACUUUCUUUUUUGUUUUUUGUCUUUUUUUGCUAAUUUUAAUGCAGGGUGCGCUAAGUUUAAAGCAAGGGGGAGGUGGUCAUGAGUUAGGAGGAGUAACUAAGAAUAAUAAGGUGGAGAGAGCUCUUUUGGAACACCUUUGAUGCGUGUCACGUUGUGUUCAUGGGCUCCUAAAUUAUCCAACUUUUUUAUAUCCAUGCAUGUGUCAAUGUUUGUCUCUCUUUCCUCAAGCUAUACAUCCUUAGUGGGCUUGGGUUUUGUAGCACUUGUUUCCUGUUUAUGAUGUGAUCAAAGACAUGUUCUACUUAUUUGAAUGGUUUACAUCUAGUCUAUACUUUAUGUCUAUACUUUAUGAUUGUGUUUAUACUUUAUGAUUGUGUUUGGUUGAAAAUGUGAAUCGUAAUCAGCAUAAAAUUAAAAUGGACUAUAAUAAAAACAAAGCGGUACGUAGUAUAUAUAUGCUGCAAUACUAUCGAUAAGAUCCAAUUUGCUUAAUGGAAUCGAACUGUUGGAUAAAAGGAUGUGUGGUUAGGAUGAUAGUGAUCAAUUUUUUAGAGUUAAGUGCGUAGUUGGUUGGUUGAAUAGUAUAAUCUAACGAGUAAAAAUGAUCAAAGAAUAGAUCUAAUGGCAGAAGACUCGAUAAUACCAAAAGCUUGGUACCAUCGAUAGUGUAGUAGCCGGACUCCGGACUCUCUCUCUCUCUCUAUAUAUAUAUACAAAAAUCAUAAUUUUAAAGUGUAAUCAAUUUAAACAAAUGAAGCCUAUUUGAGAAGAAGCUUAAAUGGGCACAAAUCAUCAUGAACACUUCAUACUUGAUAUAUUGAAGGUUUGCUGAAAGUAUUUUCUUAAAAACAUAUAUAUGCCAUGUUUGAAUCACAAAACAGACAUCUUUUUUUUUAAAAAAAUAAACUUUCUUGAAAUUGUGAAGUAACUAGAUUUCGAAUUAUUAGGAACAAGCACACCGAGAUCUUUCUUUGUUUUUAAUUCUUGAAAAUAAACUCGAUUACUAACCAUAAAGCCUUCUAAUGGAACAAGCACACAUAGAUCUUUUUUGUUUUUAAGAGGCCCAUGAGCCAAGUUAAGUUGUGAACUUCAAAAACCUUGGGAUCGUAUAAUUCAUAGCAUCUAUUCGGUGCUCGAAUGCUCGAAUUAGGAUGUUAAUUAGGUUUUCCAUAUUUUCUGCUGCUAGUACAAGUGGUAGGAACAAAUGAUACCUGAUUACUCGAAUCCCAUUGGUUUUGGGUUUGAAUUCAUGAUGUUUUCUACUUUACCGUGUAUAGACUACAGAGCAUGCGCAUGCUUUAAAACUACCUCUUGAUUUUUUUUUUUUUUUUUUUUUAAGAAAUAGAUAGCACGCUACCCGCUUCGUUUAUUUCAUUUAGAAAUAAACUUAGCUGAAAAUGUGAAACAACUAGGAUUCGAAUUUGGGUCUUAGGUACCAACCACCCAGCCCUUUACCACUUGCUCUAAGGACGAUCGGUUGAAUUCAUGAUGCUGCCCUUCGAAUUUUGUUUUCUCUGUACCUUGCCGCAUACGAUUGUUUCCAAAGAACAACAAAACAUAACUUAUGAAACUUAUAUAAAAUAUAAUCCACUUUGAAAGGAAUAGAUAAUGUAUAUUUGUUAAGUUUGCUAUUUAAUCUUUUAAUUUAUAUGAUUUUAGCUAUUGGAUGGCUUUUUUUGUUAUUGUGUUUUGACGCUUUACUUAUUUUAGCGGAUCACUUGAUUAAUUUAAAUAUCUCAGUGAUUCACAUGACUACACGCUUGUUAAAGCAAGCCAAACUGUGAAUUCUAAGGCCAUGUUUGGUUGGGGAACAAGGGUGGGGAUAAGGGGUUAUCCCCCCCUUGUUCCCCAAACACUAUUUUUAAAGGUGGGAACUAGCUAUUCCCACCCUUAACGGGUUAUCCUAGGAUAACCCGUUAAGGGUGGGAAUAGCUAGUUUCCCACCCUUAGGUGGAAUAGGGUGGGAACAAGUUGUUCCACCCUUAUUUUUAAAAAAAUAAAAAUUAAAAAUUUUAAUUUUAAUUUUAGUUUUAAAAUUAUAAUUGGUAAUUCAAAAUUCAAGUUUAUAGUUUUAAAUUUUAAAUUUAAAUUUUAAAUUUUAAUUAAAUUUUAUAUUUUUUAAUAUAAAUUUGAUAUUUAUAUUUUAAAAUUUAAUUUGAUCUUAAAUUUUAAAUUUUAAAAUUAAAAUUUUAAUUUUUGAAUUUAAAAAAAAGUAUUUUUAGGAUCACCCUGCUUGUUCCACCCAUGAAGAGAGAGAGAGAGAGAGAGAGAGAAUUUAAUUUAUUAUAAAAUUUAAAUUAUAAAUUCAAAAAUUAAAAUUUAUAAUUUUAAAAUUACAAAAUUAAAAAUUUAAAUUUUAAAUUGUUUAAUUUAAAAUUUAAAAUUUUGAUAUUUAAAUUUUUUUUAUAUUUAGAAUUUGAUAUGUUAUUUUUUAAAUUAAAAUUUCAUCUUAAAUUUAAUGUUCAAACUUUAAAAAAUUAAUUUUUUAAAAUUAUAAAUUUGAGAUUUUAAAAUUUAAAAUUUUAAUUUUAAUUUUUAAAUUAAAAGUUUAUAUUUUAACUUUUAAAAUAUAAAUAUAAAAUAUAAAAGUUUAAAUUCUAAUAUAAAGAAAAAGAUAAUAUCAUUAUUUUUUAUUUUUAACUACCAACUUUAAUUCUUAUCCCAUCUUACCUAACCAAACGCUAUUUUUCUUAUUCCCAGCAAUAACUCAAUUUUCAUCCAAACACAAAAUUGAUCUAAUUCUCGCUUAUACCUCAAUUUAUACCUAUCCCUGGAAUACCCACUUUUUGCUUAUCCCCGAACCAAACGAUACCUAAAAGUUUUAGUUUUAGUAUCUCAUCUUCUAAAUUAUUUUUAUUUAAGUUAUUUGGUAGUUUCUCAAUUAUUAAUAUUUGGACGCACCCUUCAUUUUGAUGUGAACAUACGCAUGCAAUAGUAUAUUCUAAUCAAAUACGUUGGAAAAAAGAAUACCUCCAAAUAGUAAAGUUGAAAGAAAGAUGAUCAAAUUACUCAAAUUAAUAAAUCAAAAGGAAUUGAGCUAUAGAAACACCAACCUUUCAAUACUUCAAUUUAGUUUAUUCUAUAAUGGCAUCUCGUAAGUUAUGAUCUUCAUCUCAUAAACUUUUUAGAAAAUAAAUUUUAUAUUGUUUGAUAUUAUUUAUCUAGUGAUUAAGCGGUCUCAAAUACAUCUUUUAUAUGCUGAUGAAAUUUAUUGACUCUGAGACUAUUUGAAUAAAUAGUAAAUAAUGUCGAAAAAUUACGAAAUCUUAUCUUUAAAAGUUCGUAGCAUGUAAAUCAUGUUCAAUAGUGUUGAUCAUUAAUCCGGAAGCCUUAUCAUCGAAUACAACGUAAAAACACUAAGGAGUUGGUACUUAAACCAUUCUGGCCAAACUCAAUUAAUUAAAAAAUAAUAUCAAAAAUAAAAUAUUUAAAUACUCAGAUAGUGGAAUCAAAAUAUGUUAUAAUUCAUAAUAUAAUUUUAAGUUUUUUUUUUUUGAGAAAUAGAUAGCAUGCUAGCCGCUUCGUUUAUUUUAUUUAUUUAAAAAUAAACUUAGCUAGAAAUAUGAAUCAACUAGAAUUCGAACUAGAGACCUCGGGUACCAACCACCAAAUCCUUUGCCACUUGCUCUAGGGACAAUCGGUGUAAUUUUUAAAGUUUUAAAAAAGAGAAAUGCUACUUCUAUACAACAAUUAAAGUAGGAUUAAAUCUUACAUCCAUCCAUCCAUCCAAGAGCUUAGACACUUCUUUUAGACCUUUAAUAUUAAAAAAAUAAUAAUAAGUAUAAAAUUAUUGGCCUUUUGAUGAUAGAGUAUAAAAUCUACGCUUAUUUUUUCAAAAAAAAAGCCUUGAUAAUUAAGACAAAAGAAACACCUAUAAGAAAUUAAGAAGAUUAUAAGCCCACCAAUUUGACCCUUUAAAUACGGCACAGAAUAAUCCAAACCGUGUUGUAGCUGUUGCUGAUGCUCGAAGCUUAUAGCUACGCACGUAAAGGGCUCAUCAGCACGGUAUCCAUAUAUUAAAUGCAUCUUUGUAUCACGGACGUGACUAUAGACUUUGCAUUUCGUGUUCGACAGUCAUGUGCCCGUGUGUCAGACUCAUGUCCGACAUGAAUGCAACAUCGACGCAGGGCGCAUCCCACGAUCACGAUGGGUGCGAAUGUUGGGAAUCGGGUACUCGUCCCGAUAGCGAAUUUUGAGUAUUCAUAAUCCGCUCCGGUAUGAACUGCUGUGAAUUCGGUAUCGAUUGCUGGAAUUUCGCAACGGAAGCGUCGAAUCAAAUUUUUUACUAUAAACCCGUCUCUUCAGCAAAAGCUGAUACAAUCACAAAGAGAAAAAAAAAACAACCAAACAGAAAAUAUAUAUCUGAAUCCUAAUAUAUUUAGACGGGUUAAUUUCAUACAGGUCCCUGCAAACAUGGUGAAUAGCAGAUAUAUUCCUAUAAAAUUCGACUUUUAUAAGUUAUUCCUAUAAAAGUCUUAAUAUAUUCAGAUAUGUCCCUGCCGGUAAGAUUCGUUAGAGAAAACUAGUUAAUCACAAUUAAAUACUAAAGUAUGGUUAAUUAAUAAUGCGAAUUGACAAUUUUGUCAUUCUUCUUCUUCCUCUUCUUCUUCCUCUUCCUCUCUUGCUUCUUCUGCUUCAUCUUCUUCUUCAUCCUUUUCCUCUUCUUCCUCUCCUGCUUCUUGUUUUUUCUUUUCUUUUUCGUAUCCUCAUUUUCCUCCUCCUUUUCUCCUCCUCCUUCUUCUUCUUCAUCGCCGUCAUCGAUGAUCCGAUCGUCGUCGCCGUCGUGGUGCCUACGCCGGCUGUCAUCACGGGCGCCUCCGAAAGCAUCGGCCACGCCUUUGCCUUCCGCAUCUUCCUUGUCCUCGUUGGCUGCAACCCGAACAAGCUCCACAAGGUUGCCGUCGCCACCACUGCUGCCACCGUCUGCUCCCACAACCUGAAGAGGAAGAGGAAGAGGGCAAGGGCAAAAUUAUCAUUUUACAACUCUACUGCUAAAAAAUUAACAGUUCUCUAACGGAUCCUAACCAUAGGGACAUAUUUGAAAAUAUUAAGACUUUUGUAGGAAUAUGAUCUGAAAGUUGAAUUUUGCAGGAAUAUAUCUGCAAUUUACUAUAUUUGCGAGAAUCUAUAUGAAAUUAAUCCUAUUAGAAUUCCUAUUCCAAUAAAUAUUUAAAUUUUAAUUGAUUUAUCUCCAAAAGAUUUAAAUAUUUAUCCUAAUCUAGUUAGAUUCCUACUCUAAUUAAUAUUUAAAUUUUAAUUUAUCUCCAACAGAUUUAAAUAUUAAUUCUUAUCUAACUAGAAUUAAUCUAUAAAUAUAAUCAAAUCCUAACAACGACUACAAAAUCAAAUAGAAGUGUAAAGACAAUUAAGGGUCCAGCUAUGAAAAAAUUUUAGAAUGCAACGGGGAUAUUGGUGACGUGGCGUAACAAACCAAUCAAAAAUUUGCUUUUACAGACAUAUGUCUCAUCAUGAUUAUAAAAAAAAAUGUUUAUUGUACUUUUGUUUGAAAAGAAGAAAGAUGAUUGGCCAGUUAUUGAUGACGUGGUGUAAGUAUAAUAGUGUAGAAUUCCUCCCAUCUAGGAUGCUUCUCAGAAGUUGCUAUUUAUAGUUUUUAAAUUUUUAGAUUUAUAAUAAAAUUACUACCAAAUAGUAAAUCCAAAUAAUCCAAAAGCUAAAUAGUUAAAAAAUAUAACCAAAUGCAUUCCAACUCAAUACAGGAUAAUAAUAUUCCUAUCACUCAUAAGAUAACAAUAAUCCCCAACCAAAUUGGACCAAAAAAAGACUUUUGUGCAGUCAUUUUUAAAAACUAAAAAACAAAAAACAAAGACUUAUGUUGACUAUUUAAUUUCAACCACAUUAUCGUGUAGUUGGAAUUUUUGGUAUCAANCAAAAAAAAAAAAAAAGAAAAAAAAAAAGAAGCAAAGUUUUUUUUUUUCUAUGUCAUAUACACUUUGCAAUUUAUAUUCGUGAGUUUAAUCACUUCUAGCUUAAUUAUGUAUUACACACCACUUGUUAAAUUCAUGAUCUUCAAAUCUAUUUCGUUGGACACUCCAUUUUUUCGACUUUAAUGAGCUCCGGUAGUUGAAAUUGUUACCCAAAACAUUGACCAAAAAAUAGCAAAAUAUAUAUAUUUAAUUAUUAAUAUACACUGCUUCGAAUUAGCAUAUGUGACAAUAUUUAAUUUGUAAAGAAGUGUAAAUUAUGAGAAAAUUAAGUGAUCAAGCAAUUACAAUGCUACUUCAAUACCAAAAAGUGGGGUUAAAUCUUACAUCCAUGUACAUCCAGAAGCUUAGACACUUCUUUUAGACCUUUAAUAUUUUUUUUAAAAAAUUAAUAACUAUAAAAUUAUUGGCCUUUGGAUGAUAGAGUAUAAAAUCUAUGUUUUUGUUUGAAUGUACAACAGAAUUACUCUUUUAAAAUAGUUCACUUUGCCCCCUCGUAGUAUAGUGUAUUUUUACUUUACCAUUAGGUGGUUCAAAAAAUUAUAUUUCACUAUUUUGUGGUUUAGCAUGCUUUCACUUUACCGCCCCGUAAUUCAAAAAGAUUAUAUUUAAUUAUUCUAUAUUUUUAUUUUUAUUUUUUUUAAAAAAAAAGCUUUGAUAAUUAAGACAAAAGGAACACCUAUAAAAAAAGUUUUUUUUUUUUUUUGAGAGAUAGGUAGCACGCUACCCGCUUCGUUUAUUUCAUUUAGAAAUAAACUUAGCUGAAAAUGUGAAUCAAUUAGGAUUCGAACUUAGAUCUCGGGUACCAAGUACCAACCACUAAACCCUAUAAAAGUUGAGCAAUGCUCCUAUGCACCGAACAAAUCUCAGCCAUUAAAAUUCUUUAAAUGUACGGUAACGCUAGACCUAUUAAAAGAGGGUGACCGGCACUUGGGGGUAUAGGUACCGGUCACCACUUUAAUAAGGGCAAAUUUUUUUUUUUUAUUACAUGGAGUUUACAAUGAGGGUAUUUUGGUAAAUUGUCAUCCUCAUAACAUGCCAUUUUUGUAAAUUUAGAAUAUUCCACCUUCCUUCAUUCUUAUCCUCCAAUAUUCCAUCUUUGUAUUAUUACCUUUUCUAAAUUAAACCUCAUGUCUUUAAACCAUAGUUAGUUAAUUCGAAUAUGAUAAAAAUUCGAUACGGAUAAAAUACGAAUAAAAUUCGCAAUUUUAAUUUUUAAGUUCGUUGAAAAAUACGGUUUAAAAAUUAGAUUCGCCAAUAAUUCGCAUACGCGAUUUAUACGAAAAUUUUACGUUUAUCAUUUAAAAAUUCGGAAUAAAAAUUCGUUUAUUUAAUUAAAAUUUUUUUAGAUUUAUGCUAUUAUCAUGCAUAAAUAAUUAUAAUUCUUAUAAAAUAUAAAAAUAAAAUUGGAUAUAUAUAUAUAUAUAUAUAUAUAUAUAUACAUAUAUUAUAUAUACACACACACACAACACACAAACACAAAAAGGGGGAGCAGUCCACGAGGCUGAGUGCAGCCUCGUGGACCGCAAUAUUUUCCUACACGUAGGCCGCGAUUUCUUCUUUCUCGCCGCUCUUCUUUUCCUUUUUUGUUUUAGAAUCAUUUAGUUUAAAUAGUUAACAAAUUUUAUUUUUUUUAGCUAUAAUAUAAAUUAAAUCUAAAUUUAAAAUUUAAUUUUAAUCAAUAUUUUUAAACUUUAAUGUUGUUUUUACUAUCGAAUGAACAGUUUGAAUAUAAUUUUAAAAAUAAAAGAUUUUAAUUUAAAUAAAAAAUAAAAGUUAUGUUUAUAAAUACAGCAUAAUUUAUAAUUUAAAUUAAAUUAGUAUAUUUGAAAUUUCGUGUCAUUUUAAUAUAUCAAAUUAACAAUUUGAAUUGAAAUAUACUAUUCAUUUAAACAUAAAUUUUUUCAUUCUGAAAAUAAAAAUAAAAAUUAAAUUUGAAUUUAAUGUACACAUUUAUUAUAAAGUUUAACCUCAAAUUGAAUUUUAAAUUUAAUUUAUAAAGAUUUAUUACUUAUCAAAUUAGCACUAUCUAAUUUGAUAAGUAACAAAAUUAAACAAGGAAACAAAUAUUUGUAUAAGGUUGAUCAAAUUUGAUAAUUAGUUUGUAUUUUUUUUUCCAAAUUAUCCUUAUGAAUGGUAACCUAUUGAGUAGGUAACCACUAUGCAAAAGUCAAUCUCGCCCUUAAAAUAUGAACGAUUAGAUUUAUUUUAUCUGGUGUAUUGAAGCAUUCCUCAUAAAAGUUAAGAAGAUUAUAAGCCCACCAAUUUGACCCUUUAAAAACGGUAUAGAAUAAUCCAAACCGUGUUGCUUAUGCUCGAAGCUAGCUACGCAAGUGGAGGGCUCAUCGGCACGGUAUCCAUAUAUUAGAUGCAUCUUUGGAUCAUGGACAUGACUAUAACCUUGCGUUUCAGGUUCGACACUCAUGUGCCCGUGUUAGACGAUCAUGUCCAACAUGAAUGCAACAUCAACGCACGUCCACGGCGCAUCCCAUGAUCACGAUGGAUGCGACUACAAAUCAAAUAGAAAGGUCCAGCUAUGGUGCUUUCAGAAGUUGCUAUUUAUAGUUUUUAAAUUUUUUAAAUUUAUAAUAAAACUAUCAUCAAAUAGUAAAUCCUAAUAAUCCAAAAGCUAGAAAGUUAAAAAAUAAAGAAGAAGAUAUAACCAAAUGCAUUCCAACUCAAUACGGGAUAAUAAUAUCCCUCUCACUCAUAAGAUAACAAUAAUUAAUCCCCAACCAAAUUGGACCAAAAGAAGACUUUUGUGGAGUCAUUUUAAAAUAUAAAAUAAAAAACAAAAAACAAAUACUUAUGUUGACUGUUUCGAUCGACUAUGUUAUCGUGUAGUUGGAAUAUUUUGUAUCAAAAUUUUCCAUUGUCAUUUUCUCAAAAAAAAAAAAAAAGCAAAGUUUUUUUUUUCUAUGUCAUAUACACUUUGCAAUUUAAAUUCGUGAGUUUAAUCACUUCUAGCUUAAUUAUGUAUUACACACCACUUGUUAAAUUCAUGAUCUUCAAAUCAAAUCAUUUCGUUGGAUCACACUCCAUUUUUUCAGCUUUAAUGAGCUCAAACAUCGACCAAAAAAUACCAAAAUAAAUAGACAGGAUAUUUAAUUAUUAAUAUACACUGCUUCGAAUCGCACUAUUUAAAAGGAACCAUUUUUUUGUUAAAUUCGUGACUUUCAAAUAUAUUUGGUUGGAUACUUGAUUUUCUUUUUUUUUCAAUUUUGAUGAGCACAUUUCCAAAACAUCGAUGGAGACAACAAAAUAUUAAUUAGAAGGGAACGAAUCGAUUAGCUCUGAUACCGCGUGUUACUUAAAAAAUCGAUGUAAUAGAAAAUAAUUUGAACUUUGUCUUAAAAAAAAUAAUAUCUCAGCAUUUGAGAGAAAAAUAUAAAUAAUAUGAAUAUAUUAGAAAAUAUGUUGCAUUUUUUAAUCAUGAAUAAUGUUAUACUCAUAUAUAAAUUUUAUAACACUUUAGAAAUUAGCAUACAUGGCGAUAUUUAAUUGGUGGAGAAGUUUAAAUUAUGAGAAAAUUCAGUACAUCAAGCAAUUAUAAUUUCUCCUUUAUUUCCUCACUAACGUCUUCAACUUUUGGUCCCAAAAAUCACAUCAUGGUCCUUUGAUUAUUGUGCAAAUCUCACAUUAAUUUUUAAAUUUUAAUUUAUUAUGUUAAAAGAAUUAAUUAAUUUAUUAGAUUGUUUUUAUUUUACUACUGAAACAUUAAGUUUUUAAAUUUUUUAAAUUUAUAAUAAAACUAUCAUCAAAUAGUAAAUCCUAAUAAUCCAAAAGCUAGAAAGUUAAAAAAUAAAGAAGAAGAUAUAACCAAAUGCAUUCCAACUCAAUACGGGAUAAUAAUAUCCCUCUCACUCAUAAGAUAACAAUAAUUAAUCCCCAACCAAAUUGGACCAAAAGAAGACUUUUGUGGAGUCAUUUUAAAAUAUAAAAUAAAAAACAAAAAACAAAUACUUAUGUUGACUGUUUCGAUCGACUAUGUUAUCGUGUAGUUGGAAUAUUUUGUAUCAAAAUUUUCCAUUGUCAUUUUCUCAAAAAAAAAAAAAAAGCAAAGUUUUUUUUUUCUAUGUCAUAUACACUUUGCAAUUUAAAUUCGUGAGUUUAAUCACUUCUAGCUUAAUUAUGUAUUACACACCACUUGUUAAAUUCAUGAUCUUCAAAUCAAAUCAUUUCGUUGGAUCACACUCCAUUUUUUCAGCUUUAAUGAGCUCAAACAUCGACCAAAAAAUACCAAAAUAAAUAGACAGGAUAUUUAAUUAUUAAUAUACACUGCUUCGAAUCGCACUAUUUAAAAGGAACCAUUUUUUUGUUAAAUUCGUGACUUUCAAAUAUAUUUGGUUGGAUACUUGAUUUUCUUUUUUUUUCAAUUUUGAUGAGCACAUUUCCAAAACAUCGAUGGAGACAACAAAAUNAUAUCAAAAAAUCGCAAAAAUUAUUUUCUAGAAACUUCAAAUGCGUUAGAUCAAGUCUAACGGAGCCGAUCGUCGAUUCGAAAAUUCCAUCAUCGAAAACGGCUCAGGAGCACAGAGGCCUCCGUACUCCUGAGAGCACAGCAGCCCUACUCUAUAUAUAUAUAUAUAUAUAUAUAUAUAUAUAUAUAUAUAUAUAUAUAAUCAAUUAAUUAAUUUUUAUAGAUUUUAUUUACAACUUCAAACACCACCCAUGUGGAUUCAUAUUUUCUCACUUUAGUAUCAUAUGGUUUAGAGUGUAUCAAUUUAGUAUUUUGUGAUUUUAUUUUUCUCUUUUUACUAUUUAUUUCACUAAUAUUUUUAUUAAAUCAGUGAGAAAGUUAAAACUAAAUGAUGCAAAAGUGAAUAUUCGAUAAACUUAGAUAGAAUAUCUAAAAUUUUGUAUAUAAUUUAAUAAAAUAUUAUCAGAGAAACUGACGAAAAGAGAAAAAUAAAAUCACAAGAUACUAACUUGAGACAUUUUAAACCACAAAGUAUUAAAAUAAGAAAGUACGAAACCACUGAGAUCGUGUUUGAAGUUUACAUUAAAAUUUUUUAUUUUACUUUUUUGUUCCUAUGCGCAACGUAUUCUAUGGCCAACAUCCAAACACCACGACACCAAAAUAAUACUGGAGCAAAAAUUUGCGUGAAAAUUACCCAAAAUGUCCUUUUCUUUUUUUUAUAUAAACCUCGCCCACACCUCCGACGACGACGAUCACAUACAAAUCUCCUAACAUACCAAAAACAUUCGUUCGUUGAUACAACAAAUCAAACACAUAUGGCCCGGUCCUCGUUUGCUCGCAAUAUGUUGUUAUCUUUGUUAGUCGCAGUUGCUUAUUUCUCCGCGGUGGCGCCGCGCUGCGCGGAAGCCGAGGUGACGUGCCCGGAGGUUUACGGUGUGCUGAUGCAGUGCGUGCCGUACCUGCGGUCGGGGGGCACCCCGGCGCCGCAGUGCUGCAGCGGAAUCCAGCAGCUGCUGGCGGCAGCGAGCACGACGGCCGACCGCCGCACGGCGUGCCAGUGCCUCAAGACCGCCGCGGCGGGCCUCUCCGGGCUCAACCUCGGCUACGCCGUCGCACUCCCGGGCAAGUGCGGGGUCUCGUUCCCCUACAAGAUCACACCCAAUAUCGACUGCUCCACGUACGUAAAGUUACGGCCGUUAAAUAUAAUGUAAAAUUUGUUUGAACCGAAAUUUUUGAUUCGACUAUCUAAUUUUUAAAAAUUUUAAUUUUAAUGUCUAAUCUUUUAAUUUACUUGAUUUGAGUCCGUCAACAAUACUUUGGCUUUCAAAUUAAAACUAAUUAUCUUUUUCAAUGAACUUAUAGUUGUCAGAAUUGUAUGAGGCAUAUAAAUUAAAUUUGUGCAGAUAAAGGACAUAUUUAAAUUUGAAAUUUAAAUAUUAUUGGCGGACUCAAAUUAAAUAAAUUAAAUGAUUGAAUAGUAAAAUAAACUUAUAAUGGUUCGACAUCAGAGUGGGCCUGGCCAAGCACGGCACGAGCACUAUAACACUCGUGUCGGAUGGGCUCGGCCAGUUAAACUGGGCCGUGCUGGGCCUUGCUCUCACGCCCCGAUGGCCUGGCACAGCCCAGCACGACACGAGCCUGGACCGUGCCGAGCCUGAGGGGAUGUCCCGGCCCGACACGACACGGCACGGCUCGACCAAUGUGGUCAGUGCCUCCUAAGGCGGUCCCGAGCAGGGAGUUGGGUUCCCCCUGCACCACCCCAACUCCCAAUGCUUUGGGAGUUGGGUUUAGGAGAUGGGUCUAUUGGACCAAAAUGCCACUGUUGGGAAGAAUAUUUCGGUCCAAAAAAUUUAAUAAUUUAAAAUAAUUUAAAAUUUUAAUAUUUUUAUAAAUGUAUUUUAAAAUUUUAAAUUUUUUUACUUAUAUAUUAUUUUUUUAAAAAAAUAUUUUUUUAUUUUUAUUUUUAAAAAAUUUUAUAUAUUUUUAAAUAAAAUUAAAUAAAUGAAUUCCUUAUCAAUGACACACGUACCCUCUUAAUGUAUUGUGUAUUUUCUUUUGUGAAUUAAUCAUAUAUAUUAUUACUAGGGAUAUGUUCACAGGACUUGAUAGCUAUCCCUACAUUACACCCGGCACGGCCCGGUCUCCAGUCGGGCCGUCCCGAACCGGGUAUCAACCCGACACAGCACAACCCAGUUUCAAGAACCUGGAGCCAGGUCGCGCUGGGGAGCCAGAUCUGACAUGCCUGGCCCGACCCGAAGCUCGAUCAAAGAAAANAUAUAUAUAUAUAUAUAUAUAUAUAUAUAUAUAUAUAUAUAUAUAUAUAUAUAUAUAUAUAUAUAUAUAUAUAGCUAGGCUCCUACGCUUUCGAAAGUACGGGGGCCUCCUUACUUGUAAGUUGUUUUCGACGAUGGGACGUCCGAUUCGGCGAUCGAUUCCGUUAGACAUGAUCUACGCUAUUGGAACUACCUAAAAACCAAAUUUUAUAAAUUUUUGACUUCGUUUGUCUAGUAAACGAGUAGCCUCAAAAUAAACGGCUGAAAAUAAAAAUCUUAUAAAAAACAGUGGUAAAGGACUCAAAUUUCAAAUCGAAAGUAUUGGUCUUACUAUUGACAUUAAGUAGAAUUUUCUAUUAAAUUUUUAUCUAAUUUGAAUACUUCUACACCGUUGAACUUAAAAACGUACCGCAUCGACCAUUAAAAGUCAUUUUUGGGACCUUUUGAUCGCUUAGUAAAUGAUGUCAAAAAAUUAUGAAAUUUGGUUUCUAGAUAAUUCCAAAGGGGUAGAUUAUACCUAACAGAGCCGAUCGUCGAAUCGGAUGUCUUAUCAUCGAAAACAACUUACAAGUAUGGAAGUCCCGGUACUUUCGAAAGUAUAGUAGAUGCACUCAUAUAUAUAUAUAUAUAGAGAGAGAGAGAGAGAGAGAGAGAGAGAGAGAGAGAGAGAGUGAUAAAAUAUUGCGCUAAUGUGGUAAAUAUAAAUCAACGCUUAUAUGAUAAUUCUCAUUUUGAAACCAAUGGUACUUAAUUUUUUAAGGAAGAGAUUUAUUUGCAAUAAUUGAUAAACGUUUAUUAUUAAAUUACAAAAGUUAUAAAAAUUUCAAAAAAAGAAAAAAGGCACUUUUUUUGUUGCCAAACAAACUUACAAAAUAUAUAUUAUCUUCUUUUUUUCCGUCUUAAUUUGCAGGAUACCGUAGGAAGAAGAUGGUCGCAAUGCAGAAUAAAAGAGACCCAAAAGAGAACCUAAUUUGUGUUGGUGCUGCUGAGUUAAUUUUCGUGCAUGUGGCUUAAAAGUAUUCUGGCUUAAUUCUAUAAUAAGAAGAUGACCGGACCGCUAUAUAUAGAGAUAUGUAAUUCUGAUGUGUAUGGUCCAAGAAGUAAUACUUGUUUGGCUGUAAUAAAUUAUAAGAUAAACUUCAAAUGUCAUCUUUAUGGUUUCGCACUUUCUUAUUUUAGUACUCUGUGGUUUAAAAUAUAUCAAUUUAUUAUCCUACGUUUUUAUUUUUCUCUUGUUAUCAGCUCUUUCGUAAUAUUUUAUUAAAUUAUAUACAAAAAAUUUUAGAUACCAUAUAUAGGUUUAUCGAAUAUUUACUUUAGUACCUUUUAGUUUUAAUUUUAUCACUGAUUUAACGAAAAAAAAAUUAGUGGAGAAAAUAAUAAAAAGAGAAAAUAAAAUCACGGGUACUAAAUAAUACAGUUUAAAGCGCAGAGUACUAAAAUAAAAAAAAAACACGAAACCAUAUGGGUGGUAUUUAAAGUUUUCUCUAAAUUAUAUGUCCUGAUUAAUUUAUGGUCAAAAUCUACAGGUUAACCUAAUAUUUAAUUGCACCUAAGCUGUUGAAUUAACUCUUUUCCAAGAAAGUAAGAAAGAAAAGUAAAAUUAAAAAAAUGGUAAGCACGAUCGGUGUAAAUUUGAGGUAUGAUGAACGAGAUAUCAUGGGCAUUAGAGACACCAUAUCAGCAAUAUUAUUGUCACAUUUUAGAUUUUUUUUAUUUUCUUAUGUUGUAAGUAGCUAACAUUUUUUUUUAAAAAAAAUCCUUCAAAUAAUUUGAAAGAAAAUAAAAAAAAAAAAAGAAAAACUAAUGGUGCUUAAACAAAAAGUCCCAUUAUGGAUGUGAAAAAUUUUAGAAUGUACCCGUUAUAUUAAUGAUCUGGUGUCACAUCAUAAUUAUAAAAAAUUAUUUUUAUUGUAUUUUUUUUUCUAAAAAAAAUAUAUAAUUAGCAUGUUAUUGCUGAUGUGGUGCAAGUACAAUACAAUAAACUUUCUCUAUAACUGUAUCCCGAAAAUAAAAGAAAAAGAAAAAAAAUUUGGAUGGGGAGGAAAACCACAGGACACUCCGUUACUUUAUAUAGCUUUAAAAUUCAUGUCAUUUACAUGAUAAACUAUGGACGAAGCGGUCUCAUCUUGAAAAUCCUCCUCAUCAUAAUAUAAAUUGUUUAUAUGUUAUUGGCUAUAUAUGUUUUCUCUUCUAAUUGUAAAUUAGGAGUUUCUCUUAGUCUUAUAUAUAAUUAUUUAGGAUCAGAUAAUAAAGUAAUUCAUAUUAUUCUGAGAAAAUAAUUUAAGGCCACACAUACUAUAUAUGUUAUUAGUUAUAAACAUAGAAUCAUACUCUCCAUAUGAUCGACAAUUGUUUUAAAAUUCUUUAAUAAAUAAAAAAAUAUCAAAUAGGAUGUCUAUCCAAUCAUCCAAAAUUAUCGAUGUUAAGAGUGAAAGAUUAAUAAUAAUCAUUUCAUAUUAAAAAUGGCAACUUACGGCCUAAGACAAGGCCAUUUCGCAUCCAAAAUUCGGAUCGAAUAUGAAACGAGUGCGGUGUUGGCUCAACCCCUUCGAAUCCUAUCGAAUUUCAUAAAGUUCAAUCUCUUCGUGAUCCUCAACCCAUUCGAAUCGCAAAAUUUUUCUUCUCAUCUUAUACUGUUCAAUCAUACCUUGACUAACACAUGAAAAAUAUUUCUUAUAUAUAAAUCUCAUAUCAACUUAAUCACCAUCACCACAGCCCAUAUGGUUGUGCCAUUCAUUGUAGCUCUCGAUCAUCUCAACAAACAUAUUAGAAUUUGACAAUAUAAAUAGAAAAACCAAACAUUUUCCCUCUUUCUUUUUGUUUUUCUCCAAUUUUUUCUUUUUUUUAAUCAUGCUUAGUAAUACAUAAUUCUACUGAGAAAGCAGUGCCCCAAUGUUAUCUGCUAGGCUCUUCACUGUGGUAGGAGACACAGCUCUGCUUCCCCCCAGGUACCAUUUUUGGAUCAUCUGCGCAACGUUGGCAUUUUCCACCACCAUUUUCACUUCUCCUUUUUCCUCCGUCGCAAAUGUUAUCUGCGCUCGUAACCGACAAACGAAAGCGCUUGAUAUUAGUAAAGCUAGAAAUGUAUGGUUUUAGAGCUCAAGUUCAUAAGAAAGAAUUGACGUUCGCCACUAUUUUUCUUCAUUUUGUAACAAAAUUUUCAAAAACGAAACUCACAACUCACCGACCGACCGUCAGAUAUUUUCAAGGGCUAAAGAUAAGUAAGUAAAAUAUUAAUACAAGAACUAUCCCUACGUACAUGCGUGUUUAUCAUUUCAUCUCGUAUAUAUUGCUAAGUUAAAAGUUAUCAAAAUAUUACAGAAAGAGUAAUAUCUGCUCUAUUAAUGAUAAUUAAUUUAUGCCAAAGAUGCUAACGUUGAAGGAACUUUGAUGGUGAUCAUUCCUUUACCUCUGCAGUGCGAGAAGCUACAGGAAAAUAGAAAGUGAUCACUGAAUCCUUCUUGAAAUAUUUGGUUUGGAAAAACUCGGCAAUCUUGUCAAGUGCCUCUUCUUCCUCUUCUUCGUACUUGUCGACGGCCACCAAUCGGUCUCUCACCGAGCUCUCUAACUGUACGCCGUACUGCGAACCCUUUAUCUCCUUUAUCACAACCACUUUGAAAUAUUUCUCCACGGGAGCUGCAGAUGAAUCAUGUAGCAAUGUACAUAUAUAGUUACUCGUUGAAGUCAUGCCAGACUCCUAACAUAAUUAAUUUCCUUCUUUUUAAUUCAAAUUCACGCCAUGGGUCUUCCAAAAAGUCUCGAGCCCAGGCGUGAGGGAGAGUGUUAAAUAUAAAAUUAUAUCAACACUCUUCUCUAAACUUAAACUUUUAGAGUACAACGGUUGUUUCACAUAAAAUAACAUAAGUUACUUUUCUAUUAAUAAAAUGCUAUACUUUAAACCACAAAAUAAUGAUUUGGUCGAUAUACUUUAAACCACAAAAUAAUGAUUAAUUUGCUCAUAUGUCGACCGCUAAAUUUUAAUUUUUCGAAGUUAAUUAUAUAUUGAAAUUAAAUCUCACCUGAAACAAGUGCCUCAAAGAAGGAAUCAUCUUCAGCAAGCAGUGUUCCCUUUUUGCCCUUCCAAUUUCCCAAAUGAUCAACAAUUUUUUCCUUUUCCAAGUAAAUCCCAAUUGCAUUGUACUUGAUUUGUAGGAAAUGAAUUUCUAUAUCAGUAAUACCUGUAAAUGGUACACAUAGUACAACUCCAAAAUUCAAUGUCUCAUAGAUAUAAUUUGACUAUAAAUGACAGAAUAUAUAUGUCAUGGAUAGAUCCCAAAUGUUUAAACAUUUCUUGAAACUUGAUUUUUUUUGAAUUAUUUAAUGAUCCCGUCAAAUUUCGCAGCUCUAACUAUUUUAUAGCCGAAAAACGUUCAGAUCAUCAACAGUUAAUGGAUUCAUUCAGAAUAACUCAAAUCAAAAUAAAAUAAAAGUUAGAAAAUGUUCAAAUAGUACAAUAAAAAGAAAAAUAAAGCUCUGGAGCCUAGUAUUUCAAAAAGUAAACUUCAAAUACCCCUCCUAGUUUCGCAUUUUCUCACUUCAGUACCAUGUGGUUUAAAGUGUAUCAAUUUAGUACUCUGUGAUUUUAAAUUUUUUUUUUGUCAGAUUUUUUUUCGUUAAAUCAGUGACAAAGUUAAAACUAAAAGGUACUAAAGUGAAUAUUCGAUAAAUCUAGAUGGGAUAUGGAAGUUUUUUAUAUAUAAUUUAACGAAAUGUUAACGGAUGAGCUAACGAAAAGAAAAAUAAAAUAAAAUUAUAGAGUAGUAAAUUGAUACACUUUAAACCACGUGAUAUUAAAGUAAGAAAAUAUAAAACCAUAGGGAUGGUAAGAACAUAAUUAAAGUAGCAUAAU
rnacentral:lncRNA from 1 species